UUGGCCUUUGGAAAUAAUUGUUCCAACAUGAGAACCGUAAAGCCCAGCUUGUUUCUGCACAACGUUGCUGGUUCUGAUGUUAGUGCUUUUGGAGUAAAUCGUGAAGAAAUCUGUGAAGCUGAGAGAGCUUCGCUGAGCUGAUGCUGUGUUCAGGACUGCCCAAGCCAUUUCCUUCUGCGCUGGCACGAGGAAAGCAAUACUGAUACAGAAUUGUCUUAUCGGUUACCUCAUGUAGGGGUGUGGCUGAAUGUGAAUAUUUAAAAGAAGCAUUUAAUUGUGUCUCUCCUCGGGUACACCAAAAAAGUUAGGAAUUUUUCUCUGUUUUUCACUAAAUAGUGAAGACAGGGAAAUGGGAAGUGCAGUCUGCGUGGUGGUGUGGCAGAUUAAGCAGUCCUGAUCUGCAAAGUGAUCAAGUUCUUGCGUUCAGGAGCCUCCCCAUGAAAGAGGCAAGUUAGAGGUGCUUUUGUGUCUUUCCUCACUGGUUUUUUUCCCCCAUCCCUGCGUGCUCUCAAUCAGAUGCCAACGUUCCCUAAAUACACGCUGCUCCGCGGAGGGAUGCCGGCCUCUCCGUGUGCUGCGCGGGGCCGCGGGGCUCUCAUCCCGCCGCUCCGAGCGCUCUCUCGCUCCGUCCCUUUCUCCUUUCCAUUUUCCAAACCCCUCCUUGGGGCCGGCAGAGCCCUUGCCCGUGUGCCCAUGCCCGGAGGUGGGUGGCAGCGCUCUGGGGGUAGGUGGCCGUGCCCCGGGGGUUGGUGGCCGUGCCCCGGGGGUGGGUGGCCGUGCCCCGGGGGUGGGUGGCCGUGCCCCGGAGGUUGGUGGCCGUGCCCCGGAGGUUGGUGGCCGUGCCCGGAGGCGGGUGGCAGUGCCCCGGGGAUGGGUGGCAGUGCCCCGGGGGUGGGUGGCCGUGCCCCGGAGGUUAGUGGCCGUGCCCGGAGGCGGGUGGCAGUGCCCCGGGGGUGGGUGGCCGUGCCCCGUCGUUCGCCGCUGCCUGGCGGGGCAGAGGGGCCCGGCCCCGAGCAGAUGGUGCCGCAGCUGCCACCCCGCCCGAGGUGACGGGCACUGCCGGCUGACCCGGUCGGUCCCUCCGCAGCUGCCGUGUCACCCCCGCGGCCGCACCGACCGUCCUGUCCGGGCAGAAGAGGGUCGGGAUGAAGCGUCUCAGCUGCCCUCGGCAGAAGGUUCCCGGGCCGGGCUUCCUGCCUGGCUGUUUGCUUCUCCCCCUCCUCCUCCUGCCGCCCCCUGCCCGCGGGUGGACUGUUGUCGCCGGCGCUCCCCGCUCGCCGUGCCCGCCUGCUCUCAUCGCUCUCGGGGCUGGUGUUUUCCUGCGGAAAGGGCAGACCAUUUGCCUGAUUAGAAGGUUGUGCUUCUUCUCGGGGUACAUAAGCAUGUAUGUACAAACAGGCUUGUUGUGUGUUUAUGCUCUAAAGCCUCGCUUAGGCUCGAACAGCCCAUCAGCCAAAGUAAGGGUGGGUUGCAUUUUUUUUUAAAUCAGGAUCCCUACAACCAUGCUAGUCACCCCUGAAAUCUACUUUUUGGUGUUUUGAGGCAUUUUUUGGUGCCAUUGUAUAAAUUAAAGAAAUUAACCUAUUUAUCCAUUCAUUGCGACAAUCUCUGAUGAUUUCAUUUAAUGGUUCCUAAUCCUGAAUGUUAACAUUUGUGAAUUAUAUAUGUAUAAAACUAUUUGUGCAUAUCUAAUUGCUGAUUAAUACUGGUAGCUAGUAACACCACAAGCAUAGACACAUCUCAUAUUUAUGCUAAUCCUAAAUCAAUUAUAGUUAAUUUUCAAUCAAAAAAGGAGCCAAGCGUGCUUGAUGCUGAGAACUUCACUUAAAGUGUUGCCCUGAUUGAGUAGGAAGAAAUGUGUCAGGAAGUGCAGGGGUACUGUAUGAGCAGAAUUUACAUCCCGACUUUGCAGUGGAUGAACUCAUGUUUUCAUUCUUCGAGCUGAGUGACUGCUUUGUAGUGUUUGAGGAUUUAUUGAAACCAUGCUAGGUUUCUGAGGACUUCCUAAUAGAGUCUUAUGGCCCUGAGAGCAUAAUUGUUCUCCAAGGAUUUUGAAAUCAAAACAGUGUAAGUGUUUUACAUUCUGUGUGGCAUAAUGAAAAUAAUUUAAUGCCUUUUAGUGGCAUACCAAGUUUAUUUCACUUACUAGAGAGACACUGCAAUAUGGCCAAGCUUUCAUAGUGUUGGGGGAUAUUGUAAUGUGUCAGUAAUUCACGGGCCACGUAAGACAAAAGGUCAAGAGAGCACCAUUUCAUUUUCUAACUGGAAUUACCUUUAGAUAUGGGCACCAGAACAAAUCUGAUCACUAUGGAAGCAAAUAUAAUGAUCACUCUGUGUGGAUUAAGUUAAGCAAUUGUAGUUUUUGAUCUUUGGAGGGAGACUUUGAGAAGGGCAGAGAUUUUGCUCGAAGAAAUAUUGUAAGUCUCUGCCUUUGAUUUAAUGGGAGCUUUGCGACAUUCAUGUAAGCAAGCAGCCACAGUUUCUUCACUGUUCUUUGUGGUGGUCUAAAAAUCAUCCUUAAAUUGGCGUUCCUAAGAGGUUUGUGCUCAGCUGGCUCCAGGGGACCCGGGGGAUUGCUCAAGGAGGACCGAGGGCACUGGGGUCUGUGGGUGAGGGGUGGCCGAGGGGCUCCUCCUGCGGUGCCACCUGGGUGGGAGCAGGGUGGCUUGUGAUGGGAGAGCUGCCCCAGUGGCACCGGGGGACAUCUGUGACUUGUCCAGACAGCCUGAGUCACUUCAGCUGCUCCUCUACAGCUGAGACCUCAGAUGAAGGUGGGAAGGAUGUUUCCCUCUCCCCUUGCCUUCCCAAAAAUGUAACUUAAGACACAAGAGGAUGACAAGAACAAAAGACUUUUGAUCCUAUCCCCACAGAAAAGGGUUGCAGGGGCCCCUGGCUGGGGAGAGAAACGGGGAUGUCCUAACAUUUUUAUUCUUGCCGUGGGGCAUCCUCAGGCUGCAAAGACAAAACUGUGACCUGUGCAAGACCAGGAGCAUUUCAGGCUGGCCCAGGGUUAUGGCUCCUUGAAGAAGCCCUCAGAAAACAAAAUGAAAGCUUAAUGAAACUCUUGGUUUUAAAUUUAUAGGAAAAUAUUGGGUAAGAAGCAAAGACGCUUGUUUUGGUUUGGAUGGACAAAUUCCAGAAACUAGUUUUGAAAUUCUUGAGAGAGAAAGGGUAAAGCCAAGGGACAUGUGAUAAGUUUCCUGCAGGAAAGCUCUAUCCAUCACUCCUUUUCCCUUUCCUUUGUGAGUAAGGUUGUGAAGGUUUUAUAGUGUUGGUUUUGCUCCUAGCACAGUAUUGAGUAAAAGUAAAUACAAUUCAAAAAAAAAAAGGUGAGGAUGGUAUAAAUGUGGAGGCCUGAAGGAGGAUAGAGGAGCACAUCUAUAAAUUGAUGCUCACACUCUUUGUGGAAGCAGUCCCGUGUAGGCCACGGAGGGAAGACUUACCCUUAGACACAUUUUCAUCUGUCUUGCCAAGGCAUUGGUAAGGCUUUUUGCAUCUGUGCUGUCUCAAAAGAAGUAUUGAUCAAACACAAAUACCAUCCUCUUGUGCAUGUAGGGCACCCUGUGAUUUGCCUUGUGUCUCAGAGACCCUUUCCAAUGAAUUUCCUGGUCCUUGUUUAUGCAGCUCAUGGUAAAACUCCAGCCCAUUAGAGGGCAUUGGCUGUCCUGUGUUUGUACUUUGUCCCCAUUGUUGGUCGUUUACUGCUGACAGUUCAGUAACUUGCAGCAAUCCCUGUGAACUCACUUAUUGGCAAGAUAUUUGCCUGUGCUUGUCUUUGCUUCUGAGAGAGUGUUUUGGAAAAGAUUACAAGAAUGAAAGCUGCUGUGAAAUGCAGCCCUACUUUUAUCCCUGGUGUAACACCGAAGUCACUGCAGUUACCACGGGAUUGGAUUUGGCUCUCCCUGCACAUUUUCCUUUUUUUUUUUUAAUUUCAGGUAGAGCAAGAUGUGGCUUUAGUGCAGCUCUAGGGACAAUGCCAAAGUGCCAUAAACACUAACAAGUGGAAUAUGCCCUCAGACACUUUGUUAUGGGCACUGCUAAAUUAGCCUCACUGUAGUAAAGGUGGCUUUUGCCUUUAAGACAAAACAAUAAUUCCAUAAAAAAUUUUGAGACCUGUAAACAGCCCUUCAGUUGCAAGUUUGCAUUGAAGGUAUUCAUCUCUGCAACAAAAGUGCUUAUGAGUAUGUAGUGAUUAUUAAAAGGAAGUUUUUUAGCAUGUUUAGUAGUUUUACAGAGAAGAAUGAGUACUAAUUAACGUGAGAAAUUGCAUAGCAGCCUUUCAGGACUGUGUAUGUUUAUUGGGUUAUAUAUAAAAUCUCUUGGCGUGCACUGUUAAGGGAAAAGGAUACUUUCAUAAAAAUUUCUGCUCAGAUAAUAGAAUUUUUGUACAAUGAGUAACAAUAGUCUUCAUUUCCAAAGCACCUUGUGCAAAUUGGGUAUUAAAAUUGAACUUUGAACUAGAACAUUGACAAAAGAAAUCCUGUUCUGUGGGCUUGCCUGGUUCUCUAUCUAACUGCCAUUACUUGGUGUUUUCCUGGGUUUCUGUUAGGAAACUGCGAGGUAAAUAGCUUUAUGAAGAGUACAGUAACAUGUUACAAAUUAUUUUUACAGUUACUUUUAAUUUUAAAAGUUCCAUGCAAGUUGCUGCCUCCAUAAAGACAUUGUUACCUUGUAAAGUUUCCACAGUGUUAAAUAUAUUUGAAUGUGAAUAAGGUAUUUGGAGUGAUGAAAUACCAGAUGUGAAGUAUCAGGUUUCAUGUUUAUUCAUCUGUUCCUGCAAUCAUUGUACAAAGAUACGCUCUUGUAUUUCCCCCCCCCCCCCCCCUUUUUGUUCUCUCAGCAACACGCACCAAAUGAACGCAGUGGAGAUGGGACUCCUAUUCUGAAAGCCACUCUUUGGGUUUUUUAGGUUGUAAACAAAUGUGUCCAGAAGCGCUCUGGCAGCGCUGGGCUUGCUCGGUGCCACGGCGCACGCGUGACGCCCGCGCUGAGCCCUGCCAGCAAGGAAGGGCAGGACGGGCCACGGGGACGGUGUCUGCAGGAGAAGUCACUCCUGAAAUCGCUUGGGUUAUGAGCAAAUCUGCCUGAGAUCCUUUCUGCAAUGUGCUGAUGUUCUUGCAACAUCAGCAGGCCGUGCUUGCAAGAGGGCGAGAUCUGUUGUGUGAGCCCAGCCCGUGGGAAGGAAGGGCUGCUGGGCUUGCUCGUUCUCGAGGAUUUCUGAAAUGUGGGGGAACAGGGUUUAAUCUUGCUCCUUGGGCUUUCAAGAGUAAAUUGUCAGUGCUUUGAGAUAAAGAGGCAGAGUCUUCAUAAGACAGAGAAUUUUUUUUCUCUUUUUGUUUUUACCUCUCCACCAUAACCCGCUGUCCUAAAGAGAAAAUCUAGGUGGGACAGUGAGGGCUGUGUGUGAUAAGGGUCUCAACUCCUACCUGGGGAGCAGGCAGAGGGGAGCAGGCUGUGGUAAGCACCUCAGCUGAAAGUGCCGGUAAUGUUGUGGAAGGUACAUGGCACAGCCAUGGAUCGAGUAUUGCGUUGGCUGUGUUGGGUUGGGAGUAUGAUGUAUUCCAAAGGAAGUGGGAAAGCAUACUAAAAAGUUUUGCUGAAAAAUUAUGCAUCAGAAAGAGCAGGGCAUCCUUUGAAAGUGAUUUUUAGCACUUGGGCUUUGUCCUCUCUCUACUAAGCACGUUCACUUCAGUCACCCAUUUUAAGGGGAGCUGGCAGAAAGUUGUGUGUAGCCUGUUCAUGGGAAGGACUAAAGUGUGGCUGCUGCCCCAGCCUCCUGGUGCUCAGUAGGCACUGCAUGGAGGAGGCACUGGCAACAUCAGUUCUUGCCUGAAACUGAGCAGAAGCUACCAGGGCAGGUUCAGAUCAAGCAUUUGCCCACCUCAGAAUAAUUUAGUGGCUAAUCCUAUUUAAACAGCCAAAGGAAACAGCGUAAGGCUGUGUCUUUCCUUUAUGACAUUGUUCCUUUGGUAAUACCCUUGUUUAGAACUGACACACGGUAACGUGAGAGCACUGAAGUGAUGCAACCUCACUGGAACAUCCAGGAUACCUUUAGGUGGUUGUCUAGUGCAAUUUGUAUUAGCUCGUUUUUCUCCCAGCACUGGUUUCUCAAGAUGAACUUGUGAUCCUGUCAUUGCAGAAGGCAGAGUUUGCAGCUUUAAGAAAUAGCUGUCGUGCUAGGAGGUAGUUAAAACAGUCUUGAUCAGGCUGAUGGAGUGUGUUAGCUGGUUGCACAGUACCGAGAGAUCAAGAUAAUUGAAAAGCCUGCAUGUAGAUAGCAUGAAAGAAAAUUGACUUGUUGAUUUGAUCUCAUUCCUUGUGGAGCUGGGUUCGCUCCUGGGGCAAGCACCCUCUCAUUCGGGCAGCUGGGGACAGCUUGAGUUGGACAAGUACGGCCCACUCGGGCAUUAUGAUGGGCUGUAAGGUUUGAAUUCCUCUUCACGGGGCCAGUAUCAGACUGUGGUAGAAGGGUCUGCGCGUCAAACACCAGCUGAGUUAUGUCACACAGUCGUGGCAGCAGAGCAGUGGCACACGUCCCCAGGAGAGGCCUGACGUGGGCACGGGGAGGGUAAGGUACAUCCAUGUUGGCACUCUUGUUCUGGGCACCCUUACGGAAGCAGAAGAGGUGAGAAAACUUAGAAAUUGUUGUUUUGUGAAGAGAGAGACUCUGACGGUGCAGGGAGCAAUUUACACGACCAGCAACAGAGAAAAAUAUUGAUCGAAGUUUGACCAGCACCAUCGCCAUGGUUUUCACCUGCACCUAAGAGUGCUGGAUUUGGGAAGUCCAGACUAGGGGCCAGUGAGAUGAGUGGUGAAAACCAGACAUCUGAGCCGUGCUGGAAGGGAAGUUUCAUCCCAAUGUUCCCUCAGGGGGUUUGCUCCGUGUAGGUGUGAUAACAAAUAACACUGUGGGGAACAAGGAGCAGUGGGAGCACAAAGAAAUUUUACUGCAUUUUUGGUUUUCUGGGGAUAUGCAGUCUCCUGAGAAGUGAGCUUGUGUCCCACCCCACACCUCACGGGGGUGAUCCUGGGCUGACUGUCGGAGAGUAAAUGCUGUGGUAGUUGUGACAUGAGUCUUACACAAUUUCCCAAGGGCCUUCUAUUCAAAAUUAAUAUGUAUCUUAUCUGAGUCUUACGGGGAUUUCCUAACAGAUGCAUGAAGGAUUUUUUUCCUUUUAUUUAUUUUUUUUUUUUGUGGUGCCCUUGAGAAGUUUCAUUAAUACCAUUGUAUGAAUAUUUUCCUAUCCUACAAACAAUUUCAUGUGGGGCACUUGGUCUGGAACAUCAGACAGAAACACUUCAGGCUCUGGGCUUCCAGAUGAUUCAAGUCUGGAAUUUGAGUUUAAGAAAUUAGACCCUAAUGGAUUAACAGUUUACAGACUUUCAGUAGAAGUAAUGGUUUAGUUAGUAGAAAAAAGGCUCCUCUGCAAUUUUUCUGGUUUUGUUCUAGGCAUAAAAAGUGUUUACACUGUUUGACUAAGGAACAUGUUUUUGUAAGCAAAAAUACCAUACAGAUUUGGGACAUGAAUGUGAUAAUUCCAUUUCAUGAAUGCUCUUUUAACCACACAGAAGUGGCAUGGCUUGUUAAAGCUAAUGUAAAAGGGACAGCAAUACAUCCCAAAUUCACGAGGGGAUUGGAACCCUGAGAAGGCACUGCACACUGUGCGAGUUGCUGGGGUGUCAGUCAAGCACCAUCACAGUUUUACCUGCGGGGUACUCAGGCACUGUGAGUAGGAACUGUGAUCAACACACACCUUGACUGGUGUGAGAAGUCAGUGUCACUAUUGCACCUGCACAAUCACAGCCUUCCCACAACAGCCAUCUCCAGCUGGGUCAGGCCUCCCGAGGAUUUUCUGGAUUUCAUGCUCGUAUUGAGAUCUCCUUUCUGCCUUGAAGGGGGCAGUCAGCUUGCCAGAGGCUUCCAGGUGUUUAGGCCUUUAAGAAAGAUCAGGUCAUCAACCCAGCUCCUUGUUUGGUUGCCCCCCUUGGAUGAGGGGGACCCAACAGGCAGGGAUGGAUUUGGCUUGGGCUGAGUUCUUGGUUUCUCUGUAGGCAACCAUAUCACCCUUGAUGCCUGACAGUUCUGGGGACAGCAGCACAAAAAACAUGCCUGGAGGUGUUAGGGAGCAUAUUCCAGUAAUCCGAGUGGAAGUAGGUGAGGUAGAGUAUGCCAAGUUUGCAUAUAACAAAGAAAAUGCUUUUUCAGUUUGCCUAAUCAUUGCAACAGAGCUAAAACAUCUGAAGAUUAUUUGCCUGAAGCUGCUUUGCUUUUUCUUACUUCUACCUUAACAUCAACUGGUAUUUGGUUAACAUGGAAAAGAAAAGGAUUAAUGAAAUAAAAAUCACAGUUUAGACUGUGUUUGUCAUGCCAGCAAUGCAAGUGAGUAGGGAACACAGAUGAGAAACACAUCUUCGGCUGUUUGGAUUCAGCAGCAGUUUUACUCCUAAACUAGCAGGUAACACUGCUGUCUUAGACAUUGAGAAAAGGAAAAUGCUAGCCCAGUUGGCCCCAGUUUCAGGGACCUGGGGACAGCAGGCUGGGUAUAGCUGACAACUAAUAAUUUUCCAUAGUGAAAGUAGUCUUUGGAUCACUUUAGCAGGUGCCUUCAUGUGGCCUGGUAACUUCAGCAUUUAAUUCUUUGAACAAGAAUUGCAUUUUCAUUUCUUUAGUUCUUCCUUGGAUGGACUGUCAGCAAGAAACCUUUCAGUGCAAUUCAUGGUGAAAGGAGUGUUUACUAAUAGCUGUGUAUAAAUACAUGCACAUACCUAUAUGUGCAAAUAGGUUUGUGUGUGUGAAUAAAGUGUGUUCCAGCCAAUUAAAAUGUAUUUAGGAGUCCUCAGCCAGGAGGUGUAUACACAAGGAAUCAGCUACUUCUUGGCUGGGCCCUUCCUUUGCUUUGGCAACCAAAAGCAGCCUCCCAUGAGGGUGCUCUGCGAAGAGAUGGUGUGAUUCAUAUUUGUAGCUGUUAUUAGGUAGGCAUGGAGGCAUAUAUUUAGAUAGGUGAGGUAUGCAGGCAUACAUUGUGUGCUGCAUAUUUAGGCUGCACAGGGUAUUUUUAGCUGCAGGAGGCCCAAUCAGCAGCGUGCUGAGGAGAAUUGCUGUAAGGGAUAGCGCACCGAGGAGCCGCCCGCAGAAUUUUCCAUCCUGCCAGGCAGCAAGAAAAGGCCACUGGAGCUGCAUAGCUGGGUGGCCAGAGGAGUGCCAUUGACAGGUGGGACAGCUCAGAAAGCCCUCUGGCCUGGCUGCCCCGAAGGCUCUUGAUCUGCCUCAGCCCCCAUUCGGGAGCAGUUGUCCCAGGUUCCAGCCUCCCACCGAGCCCCGUGAGCGUGACACACGCAGAGCUGCUGGGGGAUGGCCUGGAGUCUGGCAUGGGAGGCUAGCAAAGUGGUCAGUAAUAGGGAAGAUGCAUUAGGGCUGGAAAUACUGAGCAAAAAUUAAAAUGAGGUAAAACAGCCAUUAAAAACCCACUUCUAUUAAAAUUACGAGACAGGAAAUUUUACAAGCUGCCCUUGCCCAAUGAAGAAAAGCAGCCUAGGGGGACUAAAUAACUUGUCUGAUGUCAUCAGGGUUUUUACAGCAGAGCUGGGAAUUGAGCCCUCUUCCCCCCAGUGCCAUCUAAGCUUUAAUGCUGAAGGGGGUCCUUUCAGAGCUUAUCCAGUGACCCUUGGGGCGUUUAGGGCAAAUCGGUGUUCCUGCACCACAUCCUGUGUGGGGGGAGAGCAGGCUGCAUCUUCCUGAGAGUACAAUCUCUGCAUAAUGUGACCACAGGAAGCCUUGCUCCUGUAAUAAGGGAGUUGACUAAAUGCCAUUUUAUUAUUAUUAGACAUUUGCUUAAUACGGUAGUUCCUUGAAACCAAACAAGAAAAGGUCCUCGAGGUGCUGCAUACCAUGUACAAAUAAUGGAGAGCCACAGGGAGUCUAAACAUGGAGAAGAGAAAGUGGAUGGGAAACUGAGGCAAUGUUUAGCCCCAUAUUGAUGCUCCAUGAGAUGAUGGGGUCCUUCUACAGAGUAAGAGAGAGGCUGCUGAAAAUAGGAUGAUUUAAUUUGUUCAUAACAUUAUUAUUCAAGGAACAAAAAAGUAUGUGGCCUUAUCCAAAGAAGUAAUCUAAGAGGUCUUUACUCUGUGCCAAACUAAAAUUCUGCUAUUUAAUUACCGAUUUAGAAAAUAUCUUGGGCUCAAUUUCCUCCUCAGUUGCACUGUUAUAAAUCUAAUGGAAUUGUUAAAGAUUUAUGGCAGUAUAACUGAAGGCAGAAUUGGAUCCCUUAUGUUUAAAACUUAGUUUGCCACAGGAGUAAUAAUUCCUGUUUUCUAGGCAAGAGUUUAAGAAUUUUGCAGACCUCUGUUUCUGUAAAAGAAAUAUGAACUACAGUAGUGUGGGUGAGUGAUUAAUGCUGGAGGGGAUGUCUAGGGGCAAUCGGAAUUGGCUGGUGUGGAAAAUCCAUGUGCAAUUCAGAUUUAGGAUCUGUUUGCAGAUGCCUCAUAAUUCAAAAUGUCAAAAAAACCCCAAACCUUAGGCCUUCAUGUAGUAAAUUAAUAUACUGUGUGUUCAGCGUGCAGCAGGCUUUGCUGAAGUAAUACCCUCAUAUGAGGUGUGAACUCAUCCCGUUCCCCUUAGUGAGGACUUAAAUUCAGAAUUGAUUGUGACUCUUUACAGCCUGACAGCAUCUAAAUCCUGUUAAAAAAAAAAAAUCCCAGUUUUGUUUUUAUUUAAAUCAUGUGUGUAAUGACUUCAAAAGGAAGAAUACUGCCUUAUUUAUUCUGACCUAAAGAAAUCUUCUGUUAGUGCAGAUCUAUUUUAGACUUGUCAGCUCUAAGGAAGGGUCUUUCUAAUGGGCUGUUGGUUGUUUUCCUCAGCCUCCACUUAGGCAAAGAGCUGAACUGUGGAGGUUUUCAGAGGCGAGUUGGGAAGUGCCUGUCUCCUGUUUGGGGGUGCCUGGUCUGGCCCUUGCCCUCGCCCACCCCACAGGCUGGGCAGCCCUGGGGGAGCCCUGGCCCUUCCUGGGGCUGCAGGGGAUGCUGUGAGCAGGGGCAGCUUCCCCAGGAACACGCUCUGUGAGCUGCAGGUGUGCUGCUCUGGGAUUUACGGCACCUGUGACAGUUUAUGCUGUUUCCAGGGGGCUGUGGGCCUGCAGUGCAUUGUAGGCAUCGAAAGGAGUUGUAAUAGAAAACUAAACCAAAGUAUGAUCCCUUGGAAAUGAUGUUAUUCAGAAUCUGCUCAGAAUUGCCUAUUUUAAAUCAAAUACAGUAUUUAAGUCCAAGGUACAUUUUUAGGAGCUUUAUUUAGGAAUGGAUUGAAGAGUUAAUUAUUGUAACUUUGCCCCCAGUUUCUCUACUUCCUCUUGCUAGUGGUGCAGGGGGAUGAGGCAUGAGGGCUGUACUCAGUUCAUCACACACCUUUGCUUCUGCUCCUUCCACCUCAGGGAGAGGGCUCCUCAUACUCUUCCCCUGCUCCAGUGGGGGGUCCCUCCCAUGGGACACAAUUUCCAUUAACUUCUCCAAAGUGAUUCCUUCCCACGGGCAGCAGUUCUUCCCGAAACUUCUCCAUCCUGUCCCUUCCACAGGGUUCAGGCCUUCAGGAACGGGCUGCUCCAGCAUGGGGGUCACAAGUCCUGCCCACAAACCUGCUCCAGCAUGGGCUUCUCCUGGGGUCACAGCCUCCUUCAGGCACCCACCUGCUCGAUAUGCAUCCUCAUGGUGGAUCUCAGCAUCCCGUGCCCUCCCUGUGCUCAGGGCUGCCCCAGGGUUGCCCCAGGGCUGCAGGACAUUCCCAGCAUCCCGUGCCCUCCCUGUGCUCGGGGCUCAGCUGCCUCCCCAGGGCUGCAGGGGAGUCUCAGCCCCAGCUCCUGGAGCUGCUCCUGCACUGCCUGGCUGUCUGCAGGGCUGCUCCUCUCACACAUCCCACUCCUCUCUUUGGCUGCAGCUGCCCAGGGCUUUUCCCUCCCUCCCAAAUCUCCUAUCUCAGGAGCAGUACCACCAUCGCUGGUGGACCAGCAGCGGGUCUGUCUCACAGCUGGCGCUGGCUCUGUGAGGUGUGGGGGCAGCUCUGGCAGCUUCUCACAGCAGCCAGCCCUGCAGCCCCGCAGUGCCCAGCCUGGCCAUGCAGCCCCGUUACUCUGUGAGAAGAGUAGCUCUGAAUGAACAUAAAACAGUUCCGUGUUCAGUGCAGUCCUCUCUUGAUGCAUUGAUUCGUGAUACCUGUUACUUUUAAGUAUGGGUUUUGUUUGUUUUUUAAAUACUGGCGAGUCAUUAACUACCUAAAAAUUAGUUGAAAUUUGAAGGAAUAAACCCCCCCCUUGUUGUCACUGAGGUAUUUUGCAGCCUAAGCAAAGGCUCAGGUAUUCCAGAUAUGAUAGAUGUGCAGAUUGCAUAAGACAUUAUGCAUUGCUCUCUCUAAGAUACAGAGUCCUGUCUGCCCUUAAACCCUUUGUUCUCUUGGCUGAAUGCAGUUAAUUAGCAACCGUCUCCAUAGCAACUGCCUCAUAGUACAAAAACAUUGUCUCGUUUUUGCAGUUUAGCUUAUCACACUGUUUACCUGAAGGGCUUUUCACUGCGUUCAGUCUCAUUUGAGUUGGCUACAUGCCUGCUCAUGGAAGUGAAUUGUCAAGACAGAAAAACACCAUGCCAGCAAGAUGCUGAACAGGGCCCUCUGUGUGGAACCAAAAACAUUUAAAAAGUUCUGUGGAAACAAAAGUUGAAGUUUGCAAUGAUUUAUGUCCAGUUUUAAGGCACGUGACUUGCCAGUAACACAGUGCAUUUUGAAAUACUGCUGUACUUCUGGGCCUGUUUUACAGACUGCCCUGCGUGGUGCUCCCUUGCCUGUAACAUCCUCUAAAGCCUGGUCACCGGCACAGCCCUGCAUCCAGGGCCAUCCGGAAACUUGCCUCCCUCCAAACCUGGGCUCUUUCAGGCAGCUCCAGCUUGUUCUUUCAGAGGAUGCUGCUGUGCCCUGGUCAGCUGUGUCCAUCAUUGCAGCCCUAUCCAUGUUCCUUUAUAUCAGUAACAUUUCAAGGGAAAUCUGUGAGUGUUGGUUCCACAUGAUAAAUUAGUUAGGAAGGGAAGAGGAAGAUCUGUUGUGGUCAUAUAAUACGCUGGAGAUUUAGGUUUAUUCAUGCCAGCCAUCGCAGUGGCGUUAAAAUACCUGCUGUGUGCUCGUGUGACUCAGGCACUUACAACGGGCUCAGAUUUGUACUAAUAGGACUUUGUUGGUGCAGGAUGAUGUAUUUAAGUCAUGUUUGAACUUUGGACAGAGGUGUGCCCACAUAUUCACACACCUCUGUAGAGGCUGACUGGAAGGUGUCAUGUGCCAUUCAAAUGACAGUGAAAUUUAACUGGUGUCUCAAUCCAAUAUUUGUGUCUGGCCUCACACCAGGAUGGUACUGCAUGAGAGGCCAUGUGAGAAGAACCGUUUUCUUGCUCAUGAAUGCUCGAUUUGUUGUGGUUUGUUGUCUUUUUUUUUUCUUUCCUUAAGUUGGCAGUGGAGUGGAUGAGAGGGCUGAUCCAGACUGGGGUAAUUCUCAUUUUAUCCUAGGCAGAGCAGAAAGCAGAGCUUGUCCUUCAGCCAUGCCACCAUGCACGGCUUCCCUUCCCUUCCCUUCCCUUCCCUUCCCUUCCCUUCCCUUCCCUUCCCUUCCCUUCCCUUCCCUUCCCUUCCCUUCCCUUCCCUUCCCUUCCCUUCCCUUCCCUUCCCUUCCCUUCCCUUCCCUUCCCUUCCCUUCCCUUCCCAGUGGCAGUUUCAGCUGGCACAGGUCAAUCUCCCUUCCAGCCCCUCUGGCAGGUGGGGCUGCUGCAUCCCGAUAAAAAGGCUUCAUUCAGUGUGACGUGUUUGAAACAGUCUCUCCACAGGCAUGAGAAGGUGUUUCGGGCUCUCUCAGGAUAAAAAGCAGGAAGAUUGCAAAGGCUGCCAGUACUGCUGGUGUGGUCCAGCAGUAAUUAAUAUAAUAAUAAUAAUAAUAAUAAUAAUAAUAAUAAUAAUAAUAAUAAUAAUAAUAAUAAUAAUAAUAAUAAUACUACUACAAUAAUCCUGUGGAGCUUCUGGUUGAUAGAGGUUUAUUCCCUCCUCGUGUUCAUGUCCUGCUCAUGCUAUUGCACAUUCACCAUCGUUGUUAGCAGGUUGUUAGCAGUGUCUGAGUUACAGCAGUGCUGGAAGCCUGCAGGCAGGAUAAAGGCUCCAUUGUAGUAGGUCUUGUGCUCACAAGAUGAGACAAUCUCUGCUCUGGCUGGUGACAGUCUGUUUUAGGACCGGUCGUGUAAGUGAGUUUAUCACAGCGAUCCAGAGAGGGAGAGAAAAUGCUACAAACAACAGGACCCCCUAGGUUACACGAGUAGCUGCUCAGUUUUGUAUCUCGGGGGCUUCGGAGGAUGUUUGUUACACUGGUAGCUGCAGAGCUGAAGGGAAAUGAAAUGCUGUUGCUUGUGCUGCUCAUCCCCAGAGCCAGCCCGUGGCCACUGGGCGCGGUGGGGAGCAGGAGGGCUUGGCACGGGAAGGGGAGGUGGGCAGAGAACCUGAGGAGGUGCCGGAGCAAAGGGUGGGUGGGGCUGGCGACAAAAGGGCUGCUGAAGUGGGGAUAAAAAUUCCGCGUGAUAAAUGGCCUCAGUGUUUGUCCAGAGCAAGCUGCCUGCGCCUUCAGGCUGCCGCACAGGCUCUCCCCUGCUUAACCCUCUUGGCCACUGGCAUGGCUGAAACAACAGAUGCUCGGAGUCAAUCCCCCACUUCCUCCGAGUGUAAGAUUGUUUGCUCACAUUCACAGAUCCUCCGCAAACUGCCUUUGUGUGGAAACCACAGAGAGUGUCCAAACUGUCAGGGUGUUUUCCAGCUUUUAGAAAUGCUCUUAGCAUUGUCAGCACCUUUGAAUCCACAUCUCAGUUCUUCUGAAGCCAGACUUGCUAGGUACCCUUAGGGGUCCAGAAAUGGAAAACUCUAAUGGCCUGAAAAAGCCUGCUAGAACUUGACGUUAUUUAAUUAGCUGAAAGUAGAGCUUGGCAGAUGGCAAAACAGUGGAAAGGACCUCCCUUUAUAAAAAUAUGGGCCAUAUCCUCAGCUUGUAUAAACUGGCAGAGCUCCACUGAAAUAGAUGUUCAGCUUCUGUCAAUUAGCAGGGAAGAGAAAAACUUCUAAAAACAGGAAAAACAGCUAUAAUACCACAGAUAUAUCAGUGGGGUUCAGGUGCAGAGUUGUUUUUAAUGCUUUAAAGACGGAUCCACUUCCAAAGCAACUGUAUCUUUUACAGUCUUGCUUCUGUUGAUGUGCCAUUCAGAGAAAGAAUUUGGCUGGCUUUGCCGAAGCUGCAUUAAGUCUGCACAUCUUGCAGCAGCGUGACGUACUCUGUGCUGCUUUCUGCAAGUCAUUCACUUAUGAAAGUGAGACAUCAAUAAUUCAUUCUAGUAAAGCCAGUCUCUAGAGUUGUGUAAAUUCAUCUAUUAUGUGACAACCCUAUCCAACUUUAACAAAGUUUUUUCGAGGCACAGAACGUUGAUUGAAAGUUGUGAGCUCACCUCAAUCUUUUCCAGUGAAAAUUCUUGCUCAGAUGAAAUCUCCCAUAUGUUUAAAAGCUGUUGCAUUCUUACAUGCUAAUGUUUCCCAUUAAUUGCUUGGAUUCUUUUUUGUUUUGUUUUGUUUUUAAUUGGAAACAUGAAAACAAAGCCUUACAACAAAGCUGACUGCUCACUUGUCCCAUUUCAUGGUAUCAACCUGACAGAUUCAUUAACUCUAUAAAAGAAUCAGGUCAGAAUUGGAAGUGAACUGAACUUGCUGAAAGCACUGCAGUGUUCACAAUCUGCUUUCAGACUGGCUUUUCUGUACCUGCUCGUUUUUCUUUGUAUUAAACCAUCUGUGUAAUUUAAGGAGCUACUGCAGGUUAACCCCAUACUAUAGAAUAUGGUGAGGCUUCAGAGUACACUGGCUGCAAGCUGCAGAUUAGGUGCAGAAAUAAAAGCAGCAAGAAGGAAAGCUAACUUUAAAUACAGCAGUGAGAGGGAUUUGAGAUAUUGUUACAGGUUGCUAAACUGGGGCCGUGCAAACUGCUGCGAAGUCACGUUUCUGGAGCCGUGCUGAGCCAGCCUGUCCCUGCUCCCACCCACGGGGGCACGUGGAGAUUCGGGCAGGGGGUGAAGGAGGAGAAAGUGGGAGAGGAAUUGUGGCUGGCGCUGGGGCACAGCCGGCCCCUCCGCGUGGGUGCGGCCAGGCCGGGUGGCUGCCUUCUUCAUUGUUUUCUAUUUAGUUAGGAUUUAUUUUAUGAUUUCCCAUAACCACGUGACAUUUCACAAAUUCUUCCCAUUCCAUCAAUCAUGUGAUUUACGGUCAGUUACUCUUUCUGCUCCUUUUGAUGCCACCACCUGCAGCUGCUGCUGGGAGCCUGAGUCUCACCGGGGGCACCUGGGCACCCCCUCCUGCCACCUCCCGCCCUGGUGCCAGCAGCAACAGGGCCUCGCUGCCCUGCAGGGGUGACUGAGGCCCCAGCCAUUCCUGACACCUCCUGGAUCACCUCUAGGUUAUUUUCUCAGCAGUGGAUGAGCACGAGGUGUGCUGUGGCCAGUCCGACCGUCAGCAGUGACAUCUGUUUCUGUGGCAAGUGUCACCAUGACAAGUGUCCAAACCUGGGGCAAGGGGUUGACAUGGACGACCACGUGUGGCAACUUUCCAGCCUGUGUUGGCAUUUGACCCCAGGACAGCCAACAAGGGGCCUUGGGAGGGAAAGAAAAUUGUCCUUACAGGCUGUUAGAAGAAUGGUGCUGAAAUACAGAACAAAAUUCUCUGGACAAAAACGUAAUAGCAGGUUACACGUGAAAAGCCAGAUUCACCUGUGCAGCUCACUGGAGUUUCUUCAGCACAGACAAGGUAGGUGAGGCUCUGGCCAGAAAAGCAGCUCCUCUGGGGAAUUGCAUCAUGAAAAUCCUGGCCUGUAGCCACUGCAGUCGGGAGAGUGCUGACAAGGAUUUUUUGCAUAUAUUCUUCCUGCUCUGUUUCGGCAAGUCACAAGCCAGGAUUUCACCUUGUCCUAAAAGCUGUGAGGGUGGUUUAUUUUAUUUCACGUAUAGAAUAUUAGAAAAAGACCACUCUCAGGCAAGACUGUGUGGCCAUGGAGGGCUGAACUGAGGUGAUGGGUUAUUUGCAAUGGCAUUCCAUCCAAAUUAGGUUUGUGGGUAUGAGGGUGCUGCACGCAUGAGCCCGCUCUGUGCAAUUCAAAUCAGAAUUUGAGUUUGAUUUUUGACACAGUGAUCCUGUGUCUGGAUAGCUGCGGCUCUGCUGGAGGUCCCUUCAGGCAGCUGGGACUGAACCCCUCUGCCACUCGUGGUUUAGCUGAAAUACCCCUGGAAAACCAGCACAAAAUCAACAACUUGUUGAAAAGGGAGGCUCAAAUCAAUUUUUCUUGCCAAAGAAGUAACUGUUUGAUUCAGGAGUUCAAAAUUCUGUGCAGGGCUCUGACAUGCUGCCUUAAAAACAAAGCCACUGUGCCUAAUGAAGAGGGGUGUGUGCCUGUGUGUGCCUGAGCACUCUGUGUGUGUUUGAACACAGUGGGGUUUAUUAGGAGCUCGGGGAGGAAUCAGCCAGGAGGAGACACGUGGCCGCGGAGUUUAUUUUACAGCAUCGCCCUCCUGGUUCAGAAAUUUCAGAUACCAAGGCUGUGGUGGAGGCUGAAGUGCUGUGGUGUGCUGGGACAAAAAGUGGACCCUUGGAUCUGCUGAGCUUGGCACAAGAGGAGCUGGUAACCAGGAUAAACAUGAAAGCCCAAGGAGAGAUGUAUUUUUUUUGGUCCGAGUUUCCUGCACUGAUGUCUCACUUAGAGGCAAAUGCAAUUCUGUGUGUAAAAACAGAGAAAUAAAGAAAUAGAGGACUGAAGAAGGAAAUUUCAUGGAUUUUUACUUUAUUUUUGUGCUGUAAGUAGAGCAGAGGGCAUGAAAUGGUCACAAGAGGAUCAUAAAGCAUUUGGAGCUUGAGCAAUGGAAAUUUGGUGUUUGGUUAUCCAGGUUGAUACUAAACAGACAGAGGGAAGAUGUCCAUAACACACAGAGUUGCUAGGUAAGGAAACAUAUGAAUAUUUGUAAGCAGUGGAGUUCUUAUAUAAAAAAUAAGGUAAUAAUCAGAUUUUUCAUGAGCUGUAUUCCUCAACGCUGUAAAUCACAGUGAAUAUUUGCAGUAACAGCUAGAUUCAGACCCAAAAGGCAAAAUAUAUAUACAAAACUGCUUCAAUCUAGGCCUGUAAAUCCAUUAACAGGCAAGAAGUAAAAAGAACCUGCCUGACAAAGAUGCUCACAGCACGUUGCUGUGCCACCUCAGUAACCUGAGCUUUACAAACAACUGCUGCAUAGAAGGUUGUAGCUGAGGUCAUUUCACAUCCCAAAAGCCAGCCAGAAAACCUCCAAGCAACUAAUGCUGGACAUGUUCUUAAUGUUCUUGCAUACUUUGCUGACCUGCAGUCUAUCAAAGCAAACCACUGUUGAUGAGCUCCUGGUUCCACUGAAAUCUGCAGACUUUGGAGGAGAUUUCUUGUGUGUGUGAGAAAGCUGAGUGAUGUUGGUGUGUGCUUGGAAGGUGGCUCAAGAUGGGGGCUUGUUUCUGUAGCUGAGUUUAGUGGGAACUCUGCAGUGUCUUUGGUGGCACAUGAGUUUCUGCAGCUCCUCCUGACCCUGCUCAAAUCAGUGCAAAAACUCUGCUCUGCAGAGGGUCUGAAGGGUGGUCUUCAUAGCAAGCUUUUGAGAACUCUCAGUAAUGUAUUCUUGACUCUUAUUUGUGCUGAGGCCUCGUGUAAGAAACACUGAGUAGAGCUGAAAGCUCGGCAGAGUUUGCCAUCCAAGCCUGGAUGGGAGAUCCAGCUGAGUUGCCUUGCUCAAACCCCUGCUCAGGCCAGGCUCCCCUUUCCUUGCGUGGGAGCUGCAGAAGGACUGACACAAAGCAAACGUGCCCGUCUUGGGAGAGGAAAGCAAGCAACUGUAUUCAAGCUGCAAUGUUUGCUUUAAAGGCAAAUUCAUUCACAGAAUUAUUUAGUUGCACAGGUGGGUUUUUCUUUGAGUCCCUCCACUUUCUGUAAUUGUGGCUCUGAAGUUCAGUCGAGUUACUUUUGAAUAGUUGCUCCCUGAAGAAAGUCUGGGGCUGCCAGUGAUGCUGAUGAGGUAAAGUGUUCUAUCACUUUGCACAUUUUUAUUAAGCAGUGGUUUGAAAGGCAGCAUAAUUGGGAAGCCCUGUCAUAUCUUUGACAAAUGCUUUCUAACAUUGCUGUGUUUUGCCCAGCUAUGACAGAAGCCAUUAGAAUGACACACGUUUCAGCUGUCGCCCGUUUGGGUCUGUACACUCCAGGAGAAAGGAGCUUUUCCUCUCGUCCAGGAAAAGGCUGCAGGAUGGCAAGACCCUCCACUGUAGGGUGUGGGUGCUGGGCCACACACGGCAGAUCCUGACUUGGAUUUUUCUGCCUUGUUUUCACUGUGGGCUUUUCUGUUCGAUAGCUGUGGCAGGAGUAGGAGGCCCUGACAAGUGGUGUAUUUAUUCAUUUGUUUAUUCUUUUUUUUUCAUCUAGCACAGUGAGGUUCUGCUCUUGGGUUUGAAAUAGGGGUGCUAUUUAAUAUAAAUAAUAAUUAGAUAGGUAUGUAACAGGCUUCUAAGUGCUAAAUUCAGCUUGAUGCAGUGUUUUUCAUUAAUCAUUUUCAUAGCUCCUCUGCCAAGGAGAAUUUAUGUAGCAGGUUUCUGAUGGCAAAUAUAGAGGCUGACUGAAUUUAAAUUUAGGCAUUAUUUGAAAGUAUGGUGCCAGCUAGACCCUAUUGUGUAAGAAUUAUAAUGGGUAGUUAAAAGAACAUUAUUUUCCUCUCAAAAUUAUAAAUUUUAAAACUCCUAAUAGUAUAUAUUUCUCACUUUUGGGGGAAGUCAGACAGAAACCCCACAGUUUCUUCCCACAGUGCAGUCAAUUUCUUAUGGUAAAGAGCUUUUCACAUAAGAAGAAACAAAUUUGCAUACGCUUACAAAUAAAGCUAUGGUAAGUCUGAAGUGUAAAAAUACAUCAGAAACUGGAUUUAGUAAACGAAAAGGGGUGGUUAAAAAUUAAAAUGGAUUUUGUCCCUUAAAUGAUAAGCAAAAAGUACCGUGUGAAAUGCCAUUGUGACAGGAGUUGACAGUAAAUUCAGCUCUGGAUUGGACCUCAUAUGGCUUGAAGUAAAACAGAGAUAUUACUCUGACUACUUUUGCAUUGUAGUAAUUAUUUAAUGCUUACAAUGAAGCCUUGUCCUUAGGGUUUUAUGCUUUAGCUGUUAAGUACCCACGCCUUGUAGUUAUUAAGUAGAGACAAAGCUGCCAUUUUUUCAAAUGGCAUAAUGUAUAUCAGUGUGUGUCAAUGAAAAACAUCAGAAAUAGACAUUUUCUGGUGGGAUACAUUAACUCUGUGAAAUCUGGAACAGUUUAUCCAGCUUUGGAAGUUUCUUCAAGCAGUGCAUAAGCCAUAAGUAGAUUUCUAUAAGUACCAAUGGCUGUCAUUUCCAGAAUUUACAGAUCUCAACUUUUUCAGGAGUAGAAUUUGCUCCAUUUGUGUUCUGUCAUAUGCUUUCAGCUAAUUCCAAGCUUCGUCUCAUAUAAAAAAAAUAAUUUCACCCUGUUGGUCAGGAAGCAGUUUGUAAUGAUUGUCUUGGUUUUAUUAAACUACUGAAAAUGCAUUCAUUUUGCAUUUCUGUCCAAAAGAGUUUUCUUGAUUCUGUGUUUGGUUUUGGCCACUUUUUCCAAGUCUGUAGUGGAUGGCUACAUGCAGUAUUGAAAUAGAAUUUUGAGUGCUUGGGGUAGGUUUUUUUUCAUGUCAGGGCUGCAGCAUUAGACCUAAACACCCUGAGUAUCCUGGUGUUUGUGUAACAGGAUAAGGAGCAAAUCUGGUCACAAUAAAUGUGUGAGAAUUCAGAACUCUUAAUGCUCAAGGGCAGGCAUUGGUGGUACAACUGUAGUUCUCUGGGCCCUGAGUGGGGGCCUGAACAUUUCAUGGACAAGCUCAUUUUGAUCUGAAUAAUUCCAUUUGAAGCUGAGGUCAGAGUCAUUCCUUCCUGAGGGUGGGAGAAGGCACGUGGAAGCUGCACAGUAAUAAUGCAGGGGAAAUCAUCUGCCCAUGUGAAAUAACAACAUCAUGCGCUGGUUCUUGCCCUUGGGCACUAAGUCCUUACCCUUGGAAAAGAGCCAGAUGCUCACAUCAUGUAAAUCAGUGUGAUUUUCACUGGCAUGCAUGAGUGCAUGCCCAUUUACACCACAGGAGGAUGGAAGUUGUUGGGUUGUUUUGUUUGUUUUUUUUUCUGAAGCUCCCUCUGGUUGUGUUUCUUGACAUAUCCUUAGAUAUCAUCUAAGUGCUGGCCCUGUCAGAUACUUUAUUGCAUGUCAAAAGGCUCCUGCAUCUCGGAUGGCAGCUGGGAGAGCGAACAGGGUGGCUAGGCUGUGGUGAGACCCAUGUGUGGAUGUGAUUUGCACGUGCAGAACAAAUACUUAUGACCUUUCCUGUGCUAACUUCUUGCAAUUAGGAAAGCUCUCUGACUCAGGAAGUUAAGCAGUGUGUAUGGCCAAUAUUUAAUAAUUAUGAAUGAAUUAUAGAUGAUCAAGCAAAAGUGGAAUUAAUUUGAGGAAAAAUUUCUUUUCACAAAUGUAUGUAAGGCGGUACUAAUAUGAAAAAAUAAACCCAAACCCAACUCACAGCCUGUCAGUGAUUUAAUUGUUUUUCUAGCAUUAGUGUUAAAACUAACUCUCUCUUUCAACUGGGUUGAAAGAGGAAAAUCCCCAGAUGUUAUUUAAAAACACCCAUUCUAAGAUCAUAGAUGCUGCAUUUUUUUAUGAAGUCCACAAAAGAAAUCUAUGCAUUGACCUCUUCCCUGGGCGUUACCCAUCUGUAUGUUCUGUUUAAAAUGUUCCCCGCAGGUACUCAUCCCACACUCACAAUUCUAAUGUAAUAUUUCUGUGGAGGUGAGUCCUUAAUUUUAAUUGUUCGAUUUUUGGAUCGGUUUAGGUAUCCUUAGCUAAUUAUGAGGGCCCUGUAAUACUUUUCUGCUCAAGAAACUCCUAAUAGGAGCGGAUGCCCUGACAGAUUGCCAUUAAUCUGUCAAUAAUGAGAUUUUUUUGGUGCUAUGCUUAGUUGUAAGCUCUUUUGGGAGAGGAUCAUCUCUGUGCUUUGUGCUGGCACAGUGGGGCUCUGCUCCAUCCUCUCCAUCCCAUCUGAGAAAUAAUCUUGGUGGUGUGAAGCAAGGUGAGGGGAACUCUUUGUGUGAGGUAGAUCAUUCUCUGAAGGCCAGACAGGCAGCUCAAAGGCUGGGUUUUCUCCUCCUCGAGGGGACUGGCCAUUUUCCCCGCUGGUGUCCGAUCGAACCAGGACAACCCCGUGGCAGGGAGGAAUGAUGCAUCUAACUCCAUCUAAUCAGGAGGUUAAUUAAUUACUUUAUUACACUAUAUUAUUCUAUACUAUAUUACACUGUAUUACAUUAUAUCUAAGCUGAGUCUGCCCAGCACCCAACUCUGCUCGCCCUGCCAGCAUCUCGCGGCUGUCAGCGACAGUCCCGGCACACACACACACGCUGGGCCCUGACAGGCCCAGGGACCAAAACACAUCACCCUGGGUAAGCAAUCUCCAGAGUGCAUUCUGCUUCGGCACAACACAGGCGCAGCAAAUGAGAUAAGAAUUGUCCUUCCUUUCUCUGAGGUUCAGAGAAUGGGAAACCCAGAAAUACUCUUGGGAAGAACUGUGCCUGGCUGUUCUCUGUGAAGGGAAAUGUGGCGGCCGGUGGCAUGGGGGGCACGGACAGGGGCUGUUUCCAGGGCCAGGGAGGCUUUGGUUGACACUCCUCCUCUCCCCAGCACGGCAGCCAGGCUGGGAACAAGGCAGAUUUUCGUGGCUGCCCCAAAAGGUGAUGGCGAUGGGCAGCAGCUGCUCCCCCGUGCCCCCGACACCCGCGGCAUGGAGCUGCGGCCACGCGCUGGAAGCUGAGGGUGGUGCGGCCUCCCACGGCCCCAGGAACGGGAGAUGCCGGGAAGGAACAGCCAGCCUGGAGCUCUGAAACAAGGCACAGCCCCAUUCCUGAGCCCAGGAGCACACAGGCUUUAAAAGGAGCUGGUUGGAAAAGCAGUGAUGGCUUUAGACUGAAGAAGGGCUGAUUUAGGUUAACAAUGUAAAGUUAUUAGAAUGAGGUAGCAAAACCCUGGAACGGAUUGCCUGGAGAGGCUGUAGAUGCUCCAUACCUGCAAACAUUUAAGGCCAGGUUGGACAGAGCAAUCUAAGUUAGUUUGAUACAUCUCUUAUUGCAGAGGGGUUUGACUAGAUGGGCUUUGAAGGUCCUCUCCAGUCUAAACUACUCUCUGAUUCUUACACCGAGCUGGGACUCUGGCCCUGCACAGGAGCACAGUGAGUUUGGGAGGCACAAGGCUCUGAGAGCACUCACUGACUGGGAGAGCUGACAGCCAGGGUUAGGAAGCCAUUAACAGCCAGCAUUAUGUCAUGUCUGCCUUACUGCUGCCAGGCCAGGUUGCUGUUAGAAAAUAACUUAAAAGUUCAGAAAAGUAAAAAAAAAACAACAAAAAAACCCCCAAACCCUAAAACAAAAACAAAAGCCACAAAGAAAACCCCCAACAGUUGGGCUCAUUUGCAUUCACAAAGAAAGAUGUAUUUGCUUUAAAUUACACCAAGAUUGAAAGUGCUGAUAGUGGGAAAAAAAAUCUUACCUAUGGCACUUUCAGUUAGCUCAGAAAGUUCAGCCAGUGAUUCGACUGCUGAGAGGGAGGAGAGCACAGAUUGCAUUUCAAAGGAAAAUUCAAGCAGUGCAUUAACGAUUAUUAAUGUGUGUUAUUGUUAAAGUAAUCAUAUUUAUUAUGGUCUAGCCUAGGGAGAACCAGCAAAAAUGGAAGUCUUGUUCCGGAGACUGUAGAAACAUGCACACAGUAGGUGGUCCCUGGCCCUGCAGUCUAAAUAGUCAGAGAUGGAGAGGAUAAAGCCCCAGCCCAGCUGAGGAGAGAACAGCAAGAAAUGCUGUGGCUUUGCAUCUGCCCUGCUAGGGCCUGGAUAAUAUCUCUUGCCCAGUUCUCCUUCCAGUGUUUGCUAGAGAUAUGUGAGGGCUUCUGUAUGAUCCUGACUGGGAAACAAACAAACAAACACCCAGAUCUGAGGGGUAGAGAGUUAUUGAUGUGCUGCUGGUCUUGGCUCUCGCAGACACAGCGGAGGCCAGGGAUGGGAGACGGGAUAACGUGAGUGAGCCACAGGCUUGGUUUCUCACUGCUUUGCCUUAAUAACAGAAGAAUUUUACUUCCACUUGCACAGAUAGAAACAUCACCCGUGAUUAAAAGCAGCAGUUGUUUUUUUGCCACUCAAAUAUUUUAAUUGUGCCUAUUUUGAUCAGCCUGCUCUGCUUGGAGGCUGGUGGCAAUGAGUGCCGGGUGUAGUAAAAGGUUACAGAUGCCAUCAGGAAAAGAUACCACUUUCCUAGGUGGAAACUGUUUGGAAAAGCAACCAGACAAAACCAAUCCGAACUGGAAUUAGGACUGUCUUCCCCAUGCAUCCAGCCAUGCCUGCCAUUACAAGCAGCUGCUUUUGCCUCAUCUUACAAACUGAUGUUUCUAAAUGUGUGCUCUUUGUUGUGCAGUCAGGAUCACUGACCCCUAACACAGAAUAAAUGUGCUGGAAGAGGUGUUGAACAGCCUGGCUGGAGGUGUAUCCCCGUGACUCUCUCAGUCCAUGCACACCAGGAGAGGUCUGCUGGGACAGUUGUGCUGGUGAGCCCUCCACAGGGAAUGCAGGUUGUUCUGGCACAAGAGGGCAUUUGCUUGUACCUGAUGCUUGUACUUCAGGAAAGAUAGAUCUGCUGUAGGGCUUUUUUUUGAAAUUCCCUGUUUGUCAGUAUUUGUGGCUUCAUGAGAUCCCAUUUUGAGUCUAGAUCAGUUAUGCGAAGUUGAGGUUUCUCCCUCUCCCCCCGUGGUCCCUUCCCCGGUCGCCCUUGAUCCACUGCCAGGGCUUCCCAGUGGCUGGCCAGGCUAGCCUGAAGCUGGGAGAAUGUGUCAGCAUGGCACAAAAAGUAUGAAAUCUGCAAGCAGGGAGCUCCUUGCUCCGGGCUGUGCUCCUGUGGCAGUCAGUUCCUGCAGCUCUGUGAGCACGAGGCCAGGAGCAUCGCUGGUGACAGAGCCCGAGCCAGCAGAGCAGGAAGCAUGCAGCAGGCAGGUCUGGUGGCUCCUGUGUGAGGGGAAAAUACCAGUCCCACACACUCUGAGAGAGCUGAGGCUCAGGAAAUCCUGGUUUUCAUUGUGCUUUGGUGGUGAGGGGCUGCUGUACCUGCAGGGGGAUGGAGCUGUGCUGGCUGGGACAUUGUGCAAAGGGCUUGGGAGGCUCUUCCAGCCUCCCCAGCUGGUGAGGAGGGGAGGUAAACCAGCCACGUCCCUCCUGCCUCCUCUUUUGUGCAGCAAUUGCACUGUAGAGAGCAGAGGCCCCUUAUCCUGCCUGUCGUCUUUGACUUACAAUUCAACCAGCUCUAAUUAUUAAAAAAUAAACAAGCCUGUAACUGCUUAAGAGCCUUAAAUCCCCUAAAUGACAGGGAAAUAGCCCCUGAACACCACCGAAUUCUAUGUCUGCCUACCCUGGCAGCAGAUACAAAUCAUCAUUAGUGGGUCACUCUGACACAGAUCCCUUAAUGUAAGUGCUACAUUACAUUAACAAGCGAGUCAACAAUAAUAUUAGCAAUAAAUGAGAAAUUAAAUUCCUAGUAAUUCAUCCCUUUGGGUUUCCCAGCGUGUCUCUUGUGUUUUUCUUGUUUUGAUCCUGAGCAUUUUGAAGCAAGAAGUGUCUUUAUUUUGUGUCUUGUGGCGUGAUCCCAGCCCAUUAAAAUGGAUGACAGUACUGCUGUUGACUUCAGUUAGCAAUUACUGUAGGAAGGAGCACAUGGUGUGAUUCAGAAAUUAAUAAUAACCAUAUACACUAAUUUUAAGCAGGGGAUAUAAAAAUUGAACUUUCCUGCUGAACUGAUUUUAAUUCGAACUGUUUUUUUCCAACUGGUUUUUCCAGGAAAACAGAUAAAAAACUAAUUUGCGUUAAAUUGGAAUACUUUUACUUUUCUGAACCAAGAGUGGUAGGGAGGGAGUCACCACUGCUAAGCAACAAUAAAAGAUAAUGUUGGUACACACUAAGAAAACUCUAAAUGAGGAAGACUCCCAAGCAGAACUGGAGUUUUUGGCUGCUAAAUUUAAUGGAAGAUGUGGCUAGACCCUCAAAUGGCUCCACAGCCGAAAUAUUUAAAUUGCUUUGUCUGUGUUUCCUGUUGCUAGAUGUAGACUGGAGCAUUGUUUUGUUUGUUUUGUUCAGAUUGCAGUAGUAGCUGAGUUCCAGUAUGUGAUGGAAAAUUGCUUAUUGGACUCUGCUGAUCAGAAAGCACUGAUUAUGGGAUAUUAACUGUAGUGCUUUUAUGAUGAAGACUAUUAAAGACUGAACCAAAAACCACAACCUCAUUACUUUCAGAAUUAAUGCUCAGAGUAAACCUGCCCUGUUCCUGAAAGGUUAGUCUCCAGUGCAUUAAUUCUUUGGUUCCAUCUUGGCACACGUGUUCACUGAAUUGCUCUGGUGGUCUGAGCAUUUCUAAUUUCACUGCCUCUUCACCCAAAGUGAAAGACCUGCAGAACCUUGCAGCUACAGCUGGGACAAAUUGCAUCUAAUCAAUUAUGGAACAUUAAGUAUUGCAAAAUAAAACAAGGCAAGAAAGGGCAAAAUUCAGUGCGGAGCUCUCCCCUGGCACGUGCCUGUAAUUAAAUGGUACAAACCUUUCUGAGAGCGCAGUGGGGUGCUCAGCCCUGGGCACAGGGGUGCCGCUGGAGACUCCCAGCCCUGCUGGGGUGCAGCUGGCUGCUCCCUGUCCCUGCAUUGCCAGGGUUUGGCUCGCUGGGAGCUGCUGGGGCACGGCUCCCUUCCUGCCCUCCUCCACACACAUCCAGGAGCUCGUGAGGAUGGCUCUGUCCCCAGUCCCCAGAGACAGUUCUGCUUAAUUAUUUGCCAUUUGGGAUGGCUGCUUUGUUCCUGGGUGCAUCUGUGUUCUCACUGAUUGGAAGUGUCACCCCUCGUAAAGGCUGGGUGAGUGUUGGUGUGCACUCAGAAUAAAGUGCCUGCAGUGGCUUCCUGGGCUGGGAAGCCUUGAGAUCUCCUUCCCCCUCCCUGCAGCAAAACUGACUCAAAACUAACAAAAACAGGGCAUUAAAUGUGGGGAGCUGCCAGGUAGGCAGAAUAGGAGUUCUUAAGUUUUCAAGGUACUACAUGAAAUCAAAUGCUAAAAGUCUUACCAUGUUCCUCCAUUGCAGUUUGGGGAUUUUGUUUGGAUCGUUUGCUUUCACCCAACUUUCUCUCAGUAUAAAUUUAUUUUCUGCAGCUUCCUUAGAUCUACAGUCUAAAUAAUGUAAAAUGAAUAUUUAUAAACUCUAGAUACAUAGAUUGUGUCUUAUUUAUUCUCUGCAGCCUUUCUCCCAAGGAGCUGGUAUCCUAUGUAUUUGUCCACAAUAUAGAGACUCAGUCUUAAUUUUUUUUUAUAUUUUCCAUAACCCCAGCAUUUACUCAUGAGUAUCAUACUAGCUUUUCAACUGGUAGAAUCCAUCUAAAAGCCUUUGCUAAAAUACCGAUAACUCUGUGUCUUCUUAGUUUUAGCACUGCUGUUGCAGUGAGGUCAGCAUAACAUUUUCUCUGUGGGUCACAGUUUGCUGACCAGUGUGGAAAUUUAUGAAUUGUUGAGAUUGUGAUGUCAGUUAGUAAUAAAUUCAAGCAAAUGUUCAAUUUUCAUUCUUUCAAUCAUAAAGAAAAUGCAGCUGAAAUGGUUGCAGUUUAUGAUACAGAAAGUUAGGCAGAACUAGUUAGAAGCAGUAAAAUGGUUAAAUCCAUAGGAAUGUAUUGGCUUUGUCUCUUGUCCAGUGGUUCUGGCUUCAUGGGUGAUCCUUUGCAGCAGCAGCCUCAAGCCUUCCAUUAUGGGCAUGUCAUGCAAUUUAUCACCCAGGUUUGUAGCUUUUUGUUUCAGUACAAUUGCUGACCCACUCUGGUCUUGCUUAAAUUUACUGACUGUUCCUUACAGCUGUUCCAAGUUUUCCGUGAGUCAUAAAAUAUUGCACAUAGGUCAGCUACUGUGAGAAAAUAGUUGAUGUUUGUUGGUGUUUGCCCUGAAAGCUCAGGCACGAGGUCUCUCAGGGCCUUGGCCAUAUCCUUCAUGCUGAGUCUGGGGGGUCAGAGCCAGUUCAGCCACGGACCCCGUGGCUCCUGGGUUUGCCUCCCAUCCGCUGCAAGGUCUGAAGCACUGAACCCCUCUCGGGCACACACGUGUGAGCUGUAGCAUGGGAAAUGAGCGUCAGCUUGUGUGCAAGUGGUUUUGGAUAUGCGCAGAGAAUUCCUGAGCAGUUACUCGUACUGAGGAGGGCACUUGGAGUCAGACCUGUUUUGUCCCCUCAACUCCUGUUUGGCUGUUUGCUGAAGCACUGAACAGCAGUGUUACUCAGCGUGUGGUCUGUGCAUGUCUGGCAGUCCAUAAAACUUCAAAGAUGUUGUGAGAGGACUUCACAUUUCAAAACCUGAAACACUCCAGUCCAUGCUAAUGUUCUCAUACUUGCAAGUAAAUAAACAAAAAAAAAAAAAAAAAGUGAAGAAAUAAAAGUGGCAAGUGAUUAUUUGAUUUUUAGCCUUAAGUUUUAUUAGGUGAUAGAAAUUAGAGUCUUUGUGGCAGGACUGCAGAAUUUUUUUGAGCAGCCUGGCUUUUCCUUGGUGCUGCAGGAAUGAGGGUUGGUGGUGUGUGGAAGCCAGGGCAGCCCUGCGUGCUCUGUGCACUUCAAUUCCUUCACUCAAAAAGGAGAGCAGCAGACCUGGAUAAGAUUCAAAGAGUGUAACAAGGAGGAUCAAAGAAUUUUCCUGAGAAGAGCUUCGGCACAAGCAGUGACUCAGUGGGCUGCAGCUCUUUGUCCAGGAGUGGUGACUCACGGGAGACAGGGCUGAAAUCUGUAGACCUGAGUUACACAGAGAAGGUGAGUGAGGAGCAGCUGCUCACUGCUUCUUCUGCAGCAAGUUUAAGGUGUAGGUGAGAGGCUCAAAGCAAACAAAAGGCACGAGCUCUGGGGACAAGCCCUGGUGCAGCUGUGAAUCCCUUUGAAAAAUACAGUGGAAGCUGUAUAUUUAUGUAGGGUCAGAAAGCAAAAAUUCCAUGUUAUAUCCAGAGGCUUCUGACCCAGGACAUAGUUGAGCUGCAACUUACUUGAAUUCAGGAGAACUUUCUUGAGCUGUCCCUGCAUUUACCCUCCUUUGGUACGGGGUGAGAUGCUGCCCUGGCUGGGCUUUGCUCAGGCCUGGCACCUCUCCUCUCUCUGGGACCAUUUUGCUCUUCAGUGCUCUUGUACAUUAGGGGUCUCCUUGCUGUUCUGCUCCUGAUCAGCCACCUGCUUGUCUUCCCUCAGGAUCCUCUCCUUUCUUAGCUCCUUUCUGGCAGCCCAUACAUCCUCUGUUUGUCAGAGAUGAGGGAGGGCGGUGGCAGGGCACGUUCCUUGUCCUUGGAGGCUGAGGAGUGUUUUAGAGGAAAUUCAUUUUUUUCACAGAGAAGCAGCACACUGUAUAGAUGGCAAUAGGGCUCUGGCAGUGUUUGAAUUGCUUUGAUUUGCCUGCCCCUACGUGUGCCAAAAUUUAUUUGGAGAGAGGGAAAUACUAGUUACUUUAUGUGGCACAGCUGCUGGGUUGCUCUUACCUCUCUGCUGUGCCUUUCAGCAGCCCAUUACACCUACCUGUAGUCUCUGAUUUCUGUGCUAAGCAAGCUCUUUGAGCAACUGUGUUUUUAAACAGCCUGUACUAUGGAACUGACACUUAAAAGUAACUGCAAAUGUUGCAAAUAAUAAAUAAUAUUGUGGCUAUGCAAUUAUAAUAUGAUACUUAAUUCCUUACAAGGGUCAGCCUGAGAAUGUGCUGUGGCUGUGAUCCGAGUGGUUCAUUUUGCAGCUGCUGUGUCAUCAGGAGCUUUUGUGAUUAUGUUUACAGCAAAAGGAAACACAACCCUAGAACAAACCGGUGAUUAUUGUAUAUACUAAUUUAUGCCUUCUAUUUACAGUGUGCUGACUGCCAUUGAUCUGAGCCUUUCCAAACCUGUUGUUUUGGGCUGAGUUUUGCCUUUUUUGCUCGGAAUACCCUCAAGACCAUUCACAUGAACAAUAGUAUGUGCAACCAAAGCAGAAUUACCUCAGGCCUCUGAAGAGAGGUGCUGUGUAUCCCAUGUUCUGCAGUAGUCUAAGCUUUGUUUUUCAUCAUACUGAUCACUGCACGUCACAGGGAGGAGAUGGUGCUCAUUGAAAGAACUCACUCCUGCAGAAAAGAGAGAGGGUUUGUAUGACAGAAAAUAUAAGGGAGGCCAGAAGGGGUUUGAUGAUCUGGAGUCACAACUCCUGAACCCAGCAGAGAUCCCACUGAGCUGGGCUCGCAGCACAGCCUCAGCUCAGCACCACGGGGAGAACAGGGGCAAAGUCAGGGUGCUGGAGCAAGUCCCUGACUUCAGUCUCUGCUGCAGGUCUGUCAGAGUAAGUGCAGCAAUUGUGGCUGGAGCAGGGCCUUUCAGGGGCUAUUUUGGGAUUGAACCUAUGUUUCUCUAUGUAGAAGUUUUGUUUCAUCCCCAUAAAUUCAUAAAGAAGCUUUUGAGGGCUGGCCUGUUGCAUUUGUGUGGCAAGAAAGGAUAAUGGGACCUGUCAAAAAAGGCAUUGUUGCCUCCUCGAAAUGGUCGUUGCUGCUCAGCAGAGGCUCAGCAAGAUAAAAGCAGCCUUAGCAAAUCAAAGAUCUGCAGGGAACAUGUCUGCAAACACAGUCAUAAAAUUUGCUGUAAUGGUUCUUGGAAAACAUGCUUGUCUGUUUUCUCUUACUUUUCACCUGACAUUGGCUCUCACAGCAGCUGAGAGGUGGCAAAAUUUCAUCUGUCUUGAAAAUUAGAAUGUGCUUUGCUGUGACUUGCAAUUGAUCCGAUUAGCUAAGUACGUUUGGGGUUUGUAAUUAAAUUUGAAAAGCUGUGUUGCUCAGCGAAUGGUAUUGCUCCUAUAAUUAUGGACUGUGGAAGUCGCCUCUUCUGCAUAAGCAUAAAAUCUGCAUGAGUCCAAAAGUGGCUGGACUCACAUUUCCAUGAAUAACCCGGGCAGAUGAUUUCAUUGCCUUAGACAGAAUUAGCCUAGGUUUCACUGAUGUGCUCCCAUCUAACAUAAGAAUAUAAUAUUUAUUAUGCUAAGCCUAAAUCACCCAGGCCGUACACAACUGUCUUGCAGUACAUCAUAAACACGAUGCAGCAAUUCAACAUCCUCAUCAAAAUCAUUUGCUUAAAUCUGGCAGUGCCUUGUGAACAAAGUAGGAAUUAACCAGCAUUUGUAUACUGAGUGCAUGAUCUAAAGUAUAGAGGGUUCAGGAUCAGUUAUGUGGGAGCAUGAGUAACUGCCCUACUGAUUUCAAAGCUACAGCAUUUUGGACACAGUAGGUUCCACUUUUACCUUGCAUGCUAGGUUUUAAUUGUAAAUAAUCAGAUACGUUUUUGUGACUGUUCUAGUGAAAUGUUAGAGAUAAAAUUAUCACAAGAUGAUUGUGUUUAGUUUUUUAUUGUUAUAUAGCUACAAUGGUUUUCCUGGUUCUGGUGUCUUUUCUGAGUGAUGAUCAGGACUACUUAGGUGCUUCAUCUUAGCUAACAGCAGCACCACAUCCAAGCAAAAUUAAGAGAUCAUGGUAAAAUGCCAGUUUCUGCUUUACAGCACUUUGAAAGGGAAAUUUUAGUUGAAGAUGAGUGUACAGAGUUGGGAUUCUACUUUCCAAACAAGUAAUGUUAGAAACAAAAUAUUUAAAUCCUUUUACUUGAGUGUAUUUCUUUACAUGGCAGAAAUGUAUUGGUAACACAAUGAAAACUGUAGUAAUAAUAACAGCAAGUAUGAGAAAUGAUAGAUUAUGUGUAGCAGCAAGCUUGAGAAUCUUGCCUUUAUUUUCUUUGCAGAUGUUCUUUUGGGAGUGGAUGUGGAGACCUAUCUGCUGGUUGUUGUUUUGAGGGGAGCCUUUUGUUGCUGGAGGGCCUGGGGCUUGAGCAAAGAGGCAAGGGAAGGAAAAACACAGGUUCCCUAUUUUGUGAUCAAACUGUCACUAAGUCCUUUGAAUUCAGCCAGCUCAAACCAGUGUGAGAUCAGGUGCAACAUGUAAAUAGUUCUGCCUGUGAUGUGAUCCUCAAACCCUGCCUUUAUUGCAGAAUCUGUCUGAUUUUAACUGUAUGCAAGAACUCAGUGAAUCAGAUUGUUACAUUGCUGGUGACUUGAGGAGAAGUCACUCAUUUCUGGGGCAGGGAUACCUGAGAGCCAGAGGUAAAAUCCUCUCAUGAAGUCCAUGGGGACUUCUGGCCAGAUAUUGCUUCUUGUUGGAUGUGACAUUCAUAGGCUACCAUUGUCUUUAGGAUUUGCUCCGUUUAUCCAGCCAAGAUCUGAAAAUUCAAUUCUAGCUGGACCAAAACCAUAGCUCCUAUUUAUCUGCUAGAGAACUGCUGAUUCCCUACUAAACUGUAUUCAUGGGGCUUAUAAAUUAUGUGUCCAGAAUCUGUGAAAUCUGUAAAUACUGUGAGAUCUGAUAAAUACUGAUAGAUAAGUACAGACUGCAGUUUUACAUCAGUAUGACUUUGUGACAGUGUUUGGUGAAAUUGCUCCAUAUUUAAAUCAGAAAAAAUCAUAUGAGAAGCUCAAUGACUGUGUGUGAAGUGGCUUGGAAUUAAUUUCCUGCUGUAUGUUUUUUCCUUAGAUUUUCAGAAUUUUAAAUAUGGUUUUUCUUACCCAAAAUAAAAACACGCUACAUAUUUUUUUGUAUUAUUACUUCUGGAGAAAAAAUAACAUUUCAAAGUUAUCAUGAGCCUUGUGUUUUUAGGCUUAUUUAGUACAUAGCUUUAUGUAGUUUAUUCUUAAUUAAUAGUGAGUUCUGUUGUGUUUGAGAUCUAAGAGCAGUGUUUGAAUUCCAUGUUUGCGGAAUGGGCUCUGACAUAAAAUUUCUCCCUUUUAUCAUUAGUGGAAUUGAUUGAUGUCUUUGCUUAGCAGAAAGAUUGCCAUGUGGAUACAAAGACAGCACGUUUCUUGCUCUGCUUGAAGUGCAUGUCAUGCCAUUUUGCUUUUAAGCACAGAAGAGAUGAAAUGGGAAAGCCCCUGCAUCCCUCACCUCGGGCUGAGCACUGCAGAGGUGCUCUCCUUGUGUUCCUCUGGCACAUGACUCGCCAGGAGCUUUUAUACAGACCCAGCAUCAGAGUUUCCUCCAGCCUGGUGAGAUUUACUGAGUCAGAACCAGAAAGACUGAGAUAAAUCACGCUGUAAAAGAAAUCAAAGGGACGCACUGAGCGGCGUAUCGGUUUCAGUCUGCAAAGAUUGACUUUGUUUACUCUGCUUCUGUGGAAACCACAACGCAGGGGCUGUUACAGCGGAAGUUAAUGAAGAUAAUUCCUAGAUGGGGAAUAAAAAAAAAGCCACUUUGUGAAGAGGAAAAUCUGUUUCAGUGUGCAGGGAGGGGAGACGUUCCGGCAGCUGUGCGAGCUGGUGGCAGAGGAUGAACCAGCCCCGCUUCUGCAAUGUCUCAGCAGCUCCACGGCUGGCAGAGAACGAUGUUAACAAUCCUGACAUCCAGUUUGCUGUCCUGCUGCCAGUACAUCCUGCAGUUGGACAUGCAGCCACUGGAAUUAUGCAUCGUGGGUCCCGUGCCGUCUGGCGGGAACAAUCGCGGCGCUUGUUCCGCGGCCAGCACGCGGUCAGAGGGGCUGUGUGUCUGUCUGUCCUGCUGUCAGACAGCAGUGUCUGUCAGCACAGUCAGAGGGGCUGUGUGUCUGUCUGUCCUGCUGUCAGACAGCAGUGUCUGUCAGCACAGUCAGAGGGGCUGUGUGUCUGUCUGUCCCGCUGUCAGACAGCAGUCUGUCAGCACUGUCAGAGGGGCUGUGUGUCUGUCUGUCCCGCUGUCGGACAGCAGUGUCUGUCAGCACUGUCAGAGGGGCUGUGUGUCUGUCUGUCCCGCUGUCAGACAGCAGUCUGUCAGCACUGUCAGAGGGGCUGUGUGUCUGUCCCGCUGUCAGACAGCAGUGUCUGUCAGCACUGUCAGAGGGGCUGUGUGUCUGUCUGUCCCGCUGUCAGACAGCAGUGUCUGUCAGCACUGUCAGAGGGGCUGUGUGUCUGUCUGUCCUGCUGUCAGACAGCAGAGUCUGUCAGCACUAUCAGCUGUCCCUCUGUCCUCCCUGCACUUCAGUUUGUCCUUGCUGUCUGAGUGUUACCAGGGUCAGUGGGGCUGUGUGUCCCUCUGUCCUCUGCACUUCAGUUUGUACAUGCACACAGAAGAUGAUGCCAUCAAUUAGCUCCUUGUGUUCCAAACAGGGCCCAGCUUUCCAGAAGAGCUGCGAGGGUGUGUCUGAGAGCCAGACAAGCUGGAGGUUUCUCUUGGGCAGCUCGUGGGCUGGUUUCAAGUUACUCCAUAUUUCAUUGUCUCCUGAUUGCUGGAGCUGGGUUUCAAAUGGUUGUGCUGGUUCUCCGUGCUUCUUAAAGGCACAGGUUGCCUCCCCAGCCUGCACAAGGAAGCACACGUUCUCUGUGUCCUCCUCAAAGCCGGGGAAUGGUUUCACCCGAGGGUGUGUACAGGGAGCCAAAAACGUCUUGUUACUGACACACAGUGAAUAGGUAGAGGGGCUGGGCAAGGGAAAAUCUAUUGGCUAUGUGUCUUGGAUGAAAAGGUUUAUUUUCUCUGGGUUAUUCUUCAGAAAAUUCACUGUAACAUUACUCUAAUGAGUUCUUUCUCUUACUUAUUUUUGCAAUUAAUGUGGGCCAAUUCAGUAGGAUGUUUUGUGUUCCCUCUGUUUUCUGGUCUGGCACUGGUGGUGUGUCUGCCUGCUCUGGACCUGCUCUCCUGUGGUGUGGAGCAUAUCCCCCAUGUUGUGCUGAAUGCAUUUCAAGAGAAAGGUCUUCUUGACAAAUGUAUUGCACAAAUCAGACAAAGCUGCCCUGAGUUAGACACUGACAAUAGAUUAUCUGGGCCAACCUUGAAACAGGGAAAUCCAUUUUGAUUUUAUUUUAUUUUUUUCAUUAUUUCAUUUGACUUGGCACCAUUCUUUUCCUGUGAAAAGGCUGAGAAAUGAGAAAUAUCUCCUACUUCAUCUGCAGCACCUAAUGUAAAGAUUUAAGAGGGCUUGCUGUUUCUUGAAGUUCAAGCACUCUUUAUUUUGGCUUGUAUCAGUGAAGGCUGCUACUGUUAUUUAAAAACAGCAGCUAGAGAGUUGCUGGUAAUGACUUUCUGUCACAGUGAAUUCACAGGCUGACCAUAUGCUGGGCAAGGGGUCAUUUCCCUGCUUUGUGUUUAGAGUGCUUUGGGGUCCUUUGGAUGAAGAUGCUUCAGACAGAUGAACCAUUUUCCCAAUGUUGUAUGUAUUGUUAUCUCCGCAAUUAAAGAACAAAGUAUAUUAAAAGGAAUGUCUCUAUGCCAAGCAAUUGUGAAAGAGGAGCUUCACCUACCUCUUCACUUGUCUAUGCCCGUGAGGGGUAGUCCAAACACUGAAGACAAUUCAAAGAAUUCCUAUGCCAGCCCAACACAGAGAGAAAUGUAUUCAUGUUUGAUGCUUAGGUGCCUUCUUCAGGCAUUUUUCAGAAGUGUUUUGUUAAGUUUUCUCUUUCUAAUUAACCAUCAGGCCUUUCUUUUUGUUUUCCUAAUAAAUAUUGCUGUAGUUUUGUAGCAUGAGAAAUGGUUCAUGUUUUUGAUCUGUUUGAAAUAAUUGACUUAAAGCUCUGGGUGAGCACCAUGGAAAUAGCUUUCCCUGAGAUCACAUGUUUUUUCCCCAGGUACAAUAGCAUUACUUGCCAGUUUUCUGCUUCCAGAUCCCAGAGAUUUUACUCUGCCCUGUCUAAGGUGUCGUUUUAAGGGUGUGCCUCCCUCGCUCAAAAUAAGGUGUAUUUUUCAAACCCUGAUUGUCAGGGCGGCUGGAGGUGCCUUUUUGUAAACCAGUAUUAAGAUGUAGCAGUUAAUUUUUACACCUUUGUGUUAAAAGUAAAGAAUACGAUGCCAAUGCUUUAGCUCCUGCUACAGGCAUCCUUAAACCCAGCAGUGAUAAAUGAAAUCAAUUUGUGUGAGGUGGCUUUUUCUUUUUCUUUAAUUGGUAAAGGAUCACUUGAUGAUCCAAAUGUUCUCCUGCGUGAAACAGAAUAAAUGUGAAGUUGUAGCAAGGGUGUCAAGCUGCAUUCCUGGUGAGACUUUUCUAAAGCAAUCAAGGUUUCUUCUGCUUCUUGCACUAAUCGUUAAUAGCUAUGCUGUUGUCACAGCUCAAAAACUUUCCUAUUGACACUUCAAUCAUUUUUAAAGAUCCUGAAUGUUCAGCAUGUAUUAAAGUAACCUUUUGCACUCUAUUGAAAUUUAAGAACUGCUAGAUUUUUAGUGAAUGCCCAAGCAACUGGAUCAUGAAAGCAUUACCUCGUGCCAAGGGCAUGAUGCAGAGCACUGAUUCCUUUUUAACAAAUAAUAAGAAGUUUGGCUUUUCAUUUACACAUUCUGCCAAUUGCUAACAAGUUUCCAUCUUGUUCAAACACUGAAUUGAUCCCAAGAAAUUGAAAAUAUUGAUUUAACCCUCUGCCUGGUUUGUGCUGUGGGCACCUGCUAGUACAGUCUUAGCACAUUACAAUUGCUUGGCCGUAAUUCCUCAGGGGACCACUAAUAACUACCACAUUUGUCUUUUCAUCUUCUGAAAUUAUGCUAGCAGUUGUCCAAGUCAAUUGUGAUUCAUUUGAUACUGCUCUCCUUCAAGACAUAUUGCAACCAAAUAGACUUGCUCACCAGUAAUAUAUCUGAUGACAUAGUUAGUUCUAGUUAAUUGACAGAAUGAUUCAGGCUUUUAUGGAUGGCAUUAAUUGGUCCCUGGUGUCCAUGCAAUAAUUGACCAGACAUUGUAGGCUACAUUAGCCUCUCAUCCAGUCAGAACAGUGGUAAGAUGAGGUAAAUGUGGUACAAAUGAUAAAAUGGCUAUAUUUUAAAUCAAACAUUUAUAAACUAUAGAAGUGGGAGAUUGUGGCAUCAGGAGGGUCUGAAUAAUGAGAAUACAUAAAUGUCCACAUUCGAAGGUUGUGUUUUCUUUUUUUUCCCUCCCCACCCAAUUAACACAUGUGGUAAGUCACAUUUAGAUGCCUUAAUGGACUCUGCUUGAAUUGUGGUUUAAUGUGUAAAGCAAAGUAGGUGGAAGGGCUGCUCGUGGUAUUUCAGCUUCUCUCUGCUGAUAUGGUACAAUUUUAAGCCUGGUGUUAAGUGUUCGAAGGAAGUUAAAGGUUGCAUUUACAGAAAGCUCUUAUUUUAUUUUAUUCUCCCCUCCCAGAAAAGGAGAUAACUUGUGGGAUUAUUUUUACAUAUUCCAGGUGUCCAAGAAAUGCAAAGCCUGUGCUCAAAUAAAAAGUGUAAUUUGUUUGAAAAAGUGAGAUAAACAAGAAAAGUGAUGUCAAAACAAUACUAGCUAGCCACAGCUCUUCUUGGAGAGUAAUAAUUCAGUGAUUUAUCACCUACUUUUCUAACUCUCUGUUUUGUGUAAGAAAACCAUAAAGAUAAGCAGGGAGGGUCUGCUGGGUGUGGCUCAGGUUUAGAAGAGUGUAACAGAAAAGAGACAGAGUCAGGGAAUGUUUUGAGUUGAAGGGGACCCGAAGGAUGGUGCAGUUGAACUCCCUGCUCAUCACAGGAUGACCCAAACUGAACCCCAUGAGCUGAAGCAAAGAACAGUGCUGGUGUCAUGGGGGGUUCUCUUUGGACUGGGGCAGGGAUAUUUGUCUAUCACACAGUUCAUGGUGCACCUAUCACCUGGAGCUCUGUUUACAGGUUUUCAGGUCAUACAGAAAGAAAAUAUCAAACAUACAUCUAGUGGGGGGAAAAAAAGAAUUGGCCAAAGGUUCCUCCUAUCAGUAUAUUUUCUGUUCUGUCAGUAUAUUGCCAAUUUAGUUUUUAGUGUCGUAACAUGGGACGUCCUUUGGAGCAUGUUUUAUAUCUGGAAGGUAUUUUCUUGCUUAAAGUUUAAACUUUGUUUCGUUAAGAUCAUUCCUCUGAGUAUAUUCUCACCAAAAAAAAAAAAAAAAUCAGUUCCUGUCUUUAUGCAACUCAGAUGUCUUUCGUGCCCCUGCAGACUGCAGCACUUUUCCCUGUGCCCACGAGGCAGCCCCUGUCCCCCUGUGCUGCUCUCCCAUCCCAUUUAUCAGCCCCUUUAUUACACCUGCAGUGGGUGUGUGAGUGCAGGGCCCUGCCAGAGCUGCCCCACAAACCUCCCCACACCCCCCUCCGGAUUACAGCUCUCUGGAACAUGGGAGAGGCACUUCCCUGGGGAUCUGUAGGGAAUGAGGAUGUCCAUAGCAGGUAGGCUGAGCUGCUCUGGGAAUAGUGUCUACCCAAAACGCAGAGAUUGCUGUAUUAGUAAAGAAUGCCAGCCACCAUCAGCUUGGGUCGCUUCAUUCACUGCUACGCCCCUUUUCACUGCCCUAUCCCUUUUGCUUAAAUCUUUCCAAAUUGCAAAGUUGUCACAACAUUGAUCACGCAUUCCUUCGGCGUCGCGCUCUUGGUGGGUACUGCCAAGAACAAACAAUAAAACCAGUCGUUGCCCUGCUUUAAUUUUUAUGAAUUGUUGAAUGUCCUGAGCUCCCACUGAUUUCAGCCUUCUAGUGGGAAUUGAGGGCAUUCAGGGAUUGCUGGGAAACUCGGCCUUUACACCAUGUACAUGCUGAUUGCAAUGUCUCCACUUCCUUGUAACUUCUUCACAAAUCAAUCUUUCCAAUCUGCUAGUAAUUUACUGCUCUCCCAGAUGCCUUCAGCAUGCUGGUAUGGUUUUUUUAUUUUUGGAAUUGAUACCUGCAUUUGUGCUGCAGGUUGAGUGGGUUGAUACAGGAAAAAUGGGAAAAUCUUGACUGAAGAAAGUCUUCUGGGAAUCGAUCCUUUUUCUUGUGAAAUGGGUCCAUUUCUCCGUUUUUACAGACUGAGCUCCAGUCAGAUGAGGCUGUUCCUAGAUGAAGUGGUGUAGUUUCUUUGUUCCUGAAAAAACCCUUGGGUGUUUAUACAUGAGGCCAGUCCUGCAUGGCUCAGUGGGUGUGUCUGCCUUGUUGGAUGUGAGCAUCCUUUGGAAGUGAAACUUCUCGGGCAGACAGGAGGUGUUGUAUUUCCCAUGGGUCACAUUAAGAUUAUGAUCCUUCCAAACACUGAUUUUGGGCAAAGGGAUGUUAUUUCUGGGUAAAGAGCCCUGCCCACAGGUUAGGUCAAAUUUAAUGUGAUCUGCUAUUGGAGGUAUUGGAUUUUAUGUUGCAGAAAGCAAUGCUGAACUUGCAGGCCAAUGAUUUCUACUGAGCCCAGUAUUGAAUGCUAGCCGGUUUUAUUUCACACAUUUUAGGAAAAAGACAAGACAUUUAUGUGAAAGAAAACAGAACUUUUAAAAACGUGUACUUUAUUUUAUGACAGCAGUGAAAAUUAACCUACAUCUAAAAUCAAGGUUUUCAUUUUACAUACACCUUAAGAUGUCACCGCUGACAACUUCAAUUUAUCUUUUCAAAUACUAAGGAAUGCAAUUGACUUUAAGGAGGCUUAAGAACAGGGAUUAAGUUUGCCUAAUUUAUAUAAUUUGCACUAGCUUAAAGCUUCUCAAAUUAGAAUAAGUUAUAACAGUUAAUGCAAUUUACUUGUUUAGCUUAAUGCAAUUUACUAAAUCCUAAAGCCAGGUAAAUAUUUAUUUAACCUCAAAAAUCAACAGUUUUACCAGCUGAAAUCUUUUCACCCAGAAAGUUUUUGACAUGGUAAAAUAUUAAUAAUUUCUACUUAAUCCCGUACUAUUUUAAACCCAAGUUUAGUAAAAUAUAUGGAGUGAGUAUGAACCAUCAGCUAUAUAAAAGAACAGAGGUAGGAAGUGGGACAGAAUUUUUUAUUUUUGCCCACUGCUGUUUUCAGCAUAAAGAGCUUUAUUGCAGGUUUCUGUUACCUCCUCCGUUCAAGCACAACCAUGAAACUGCAAGCUUAGAGGAGGAAAACUUCUUGAUCCACUUUGGUCCCUGCAGUUCUUUUCCUGUGGUCUUUACUGCUUACCACAGGGAUGGAGGAUCUAGAGGGCUGAGAUUAAUUUUCUGAGCCCACUGUUUGCAUUCACGUUCAAAUGCUAUGAGCAGCUGGGCUUCAGAUUCAAAUCUGAAUGCAGCAGUGAAACAAGACUCCCUUGCUUGGAUUUUUCUUUUGCCUACAGCUCCAAAGUGGUCCACAAGUGUGUGCUUGCCUCUUCCCCCCAGUCACUUCUGCAAAUCCCUUACUAAACAUUAACUGGAGAGGUGAUGUUCAUUAGGAAACACCUUUAGAGACUUCUUGAAAACAGGCAGGCAGAUGGGGGAGAAACCCAACAAGGAGUUGACCCAGAGGUCUUCUGUUGGGGGUCUUGCUUAAGAAUAUACAGAAAGAAAACUGACUGAGAUCCAGUUUCUGUGGAGAUUCACUUCCUCAGGUGCACGAGUCAAAGUAUUUCCAGCGCUCGGAGAAUCAGCAAAUAAUUCAGGCAUAAAAGUUUGUGGUCUAAUUUUAUAGUUGCUAAGAAUAUUUAGCUCAUGUUCACUCUUGAAUGAGCUUACUUAUGCACACAGAGAUGUCUGUCAUCUUCACUUACUGUUUUUUUAUUCUGGAGAAUAAAAAAGAGCCUUUUGUCCAGGUAAGAAUGGGACAAGAUGCAAACAAAAGCCUGCUGGAAUGGCAGAUGUUACAAUAGAAAAUAAAUGCUAGAUCUGAGUUACUGAAUUUUAAAAUAUUUUAUAAAUUGGCUUACAUUUUAAUUGAAGUCUUUUAUUAAUCUAGUGGAAAUGAAAAGAUGAAGGAGAAGCCAGGGUGAUUGUUUCAAAAGCACUGUAAUGCACUUUUGUUUUCAAUCUGUGAACUUGUUUUUCUAACAAGGUUGGAGUAUCAAGCACUGACAGGUGCAGAAGACAGUCUGGAAGAGUUUCUUUCUGUAUGAGAGAGUGCCAUGAAGUCUCAGGCAGAUCAGCCUGAGAUUCACCCAGUGUAGGUUUGAAAAGGGAUUUGUCCAUGUUGGAUUGCCCUAAGUUUCUGGAAAUAAUUGCCUUGGCUGUUUCUGUUCCAUCAAACGUGCACACUCUGCACUGGAGCCUUCAGCUAUUUGCAGCAGUUGCUGUUGCAGAAAUUCAGUUUUUCUGCAGUAUUAAUGUGGAGUGUGGCAGUUCCUGAGGGAACUCUCUUUUUGUUACUCAGAUCUAUAUUUCUUUCAGAAAAUGCUAUGUUACAACUUCAAGCCAAACAUCUGAUGUGAUCAGUGUGGCUUCAGGGACUUGUUUACUGUUUCUAAGAGUGUCCUUUUGAUAGCUGAGGCUUACGUUGUAAAUACCCUCUUUGGGAGGACCACAAGAAAGGACUGUGCAGGCAUGGGAGAUAUUUCUGGCAGUGCUGGACAGAAGGUUGUGUCAUAAAAAGGCUUCCAAUCAGUCUGGUUGGCACUGGCACGGGGCUGCUCUGCUGAGCCUGUGCCAGAAACAGGUGCCACUUGGUGCCCAUGGUCCUGUGGGAGAGGGGGAGUUCUCCAGCUGGAGUGAGGGACUCCAGCAUGCCCUCUUUCCUUAACUUUGGUUCAUUCUUUAGCACACACAUUUCUUUCUAACUUUUUUCAUUCAUUGUUUUGAGCAAAACCGUUCAAAGCUGUGCUCCUCUCUUGUUGCUGGUGUGAUCCCAGAUGUGACAGAAGGGUCAGCUCUGCUUUGAAUUCAAUAUCUCCUGUUUAGUUUUCAUUUUCAGCAAAAGAUUCAAGUUAACAUCAGGUAAAAAACCACCUGCUUUGAGGAAGAAAUCAGUGGGGACUAUAUGACAUCAGCCUUCUGAUAUUUCCCCCUGUAUCCUCUUUUCAGCACCAUUGUGCUGGACCUUUGCAUGAAUUCUGUGGUUCCUUUUUAAAAAACAAUUCCAGUUGGCAGCAAAACGUCACUGACAAUAUUUUCUACCUUUAAUUCUCCUACCAUUCUGCUAGUAAGAGCUGGAAAGGUGAUUGAUUGCAAGGCAUGUGUUUGCACCCAUUCCCCCUUGAAAGCCCCAUGCUUGUGUGCAGCAGUCCCAGAAGCCCUGAGAGAGGUCGUUCUGUCUGGGCUUGCAGAAGCCUUUGAAAGUCCUUUUGGCACGGGAUUCCCUUCUCUGCAGGUGUGAGGGUGGUCUCCUGUGCAGGCAGCUGUCCCAGCUGCCCACUGGUGUCCGUACAAUGGGACAGCUUCCUCAGCUGCCUGCUGGUGUGGCAAGUUCAGUUUAUAGGUACAGGAGAAACUUGGUUAGGAGAAAAAACUUGGAAACUUGGUUAGGAGAAACUUGAACAUGUUUUUCCUUUUAUCUUCUUGUGGUGGGUUGAACCUUGUGGGAUUCCAGGCACCUACCAAAGUCUAUCACCCACCUCUGCAGCUGGACAGCGGAGACAAAAUAUCCCAAAGGGUUAAUGAGUUGACAUAAGGACUGGGAGGGAUUGCUCACCAAUUUCUGUCAUGGGCAAAACAGGCUCUAGUUAGAGACAUUAAUUGAAUUUAUUGCUAACAAAACCAGAGCAGAAUACUGAGAAGUAAAAUAAGAUCUUAAAAACACUUUCCCCACAUCCCUCCCUCCUUCCUUCCUAGCUCUGCCUCCUCCCCCAGAGGGGCAGGGAGAUGGGGAAUGGGAGUUGUGGUCAUUUCAUCACACGGUGUUUCUGCAGCUGCUCAGGGAGAAGAGUUCUUCCCCUGCUCCAGCAUGGACUCCUUCCCACAGGAGACAGUUCUCCAGGAACUUCUCCAAGCUAAGUGCAUCUCACAGCCAACAGUUCUCCCCAGAAUGACCCAAUGUGGGCUGCAGGGGCUCAGCUGCCUCCCCAGGGCUGCAGGGGAGUCUCAGCGCCAGCACCUGGAGCCCCUCCUGCCCCUCCUACGCUGACCUGGCUGUCUGCAGGGCUGCUCCUCUCACACACCUCACUCUGCUCUUGUCUGACUGCACUUACAUCAGUGCAAUAACUUACUUUUUUUUUUUUCUUCUUAAAUCCGUUAUCACAGAGGUGUUGCCACCAUUUCUUGGCCCAGCCUUGGCCAGAGGUGUGUCCAUCUCACAGGUGGCUGGCACUGGCACUGCUGGACUCAAGGAACCUGCUGGCAGCUCCUCACAGCAGCCACCCCUGCAGCCCCCACACUGCCAAAGCCUGGCCACGCGAGCCCAGUGCACUUCUGUGUUCCUCCUAAAUGUUUCCAUGUUCAUAACUGCUCUGAGCAAUGUUGUAGCAGCAUUUCUUCCCCUCCUUUGCCUGACUUUCAGCAAGCGAAAUGUUGGUGUUUGGCAGAGCCAGGUUUCCCUCUGACAGAGUGCCUCUCACUCUGGGUGCAGCCCAAAGUACUGCUGUCAGCAUCAGUGUGAUCAGCACUGGGCCCCUGGCAGUGCUGCACUGCCCUCUCCCAUCUGGCUUGGAAAGAAAGGAAAGGAGAAGAAAAACCCCCAAAUCUCUGAAGUCCAGGAAGGAGGGCCACACAUGUUUUAGUGACAGACACUUUUUAAAGCUUGUUUGCGUUUGGGUGAUAAUGUACUUUAGUAUGGUAGGGGAAAUGAGAAACUUCACACAUGGCAUCUGGAAAUCCUUGUGGCUCACUACCCUCCUUGACAGCAAUAAUGUGGCUGUAAAUUUCCCCCAGCAGAAAACAUAUAACUGCAUCAGCUGUACUAGAAACAGCCUUUCAUUUUCUUUUAAAUGGAUGUGUUGUUUUAAAUCUCAGCUUUUUAAUAGCUUCGUAUAAACAUUUGUGAGCCUCUGAGGUAAGUAAGUAUAUUUGUACUUCUUGUUCUUAUGUCAUAGACUCACCGAAUCAAUUAGGUUAGAAAAGAUCCCUAAGGUCAUUGGGUCCAGCUGUUAAGCUAACACUACCAUGUCCACCAGUCCUUAUGGAAAAUCUGUCUAUAGCUCAAUUUAGUGUCUGGAGAGGUGAGUCCUGCCGUAUUCACACGCAUCUCACAAAGAUGAAAGGGGUGUCGCUCUUGCAAGCACUCUUGAUAAGUCUCUGCAGCGCUAAUUUAUUGUCUUUGUGCACGUGUGAUAGCUAAGCCUGAUGUCAGAUGGAGUUCCUUUGGCUGACCCGAUGCCCAUUUCUUUGUCUUUUGGUAGCAAGAACCUCGUGUGUGCUAAAGUGCUGAUACUGGUGUCAUAGCCGGGUUUGGAUGGAUUUGCCAGCUGCCUCAGAGAAAAUGCCUUUACAACCAAGACAUAUAAAGUUUAAAAUAUAGUGCAGUGCUUUAAAGUUUGUAAAACUAAGAAAUUUGGUGCUCUGUGGAGUUGGCAGAAGUUUAGGUACAGUGUAGUAGAAGUUUAGGUACAGUGUAGUAGUCUGUACACUGCCUGUGUUUUGGCAAUAUUUGGCUGGAUCCAAACAAGAGUAUUUAACGCUUUGAAACCCUUUUUCGUUUGUUGGUCUCAGCUGUAAUGAAGCUCAGGGCCUUUUCCCCCCUUGAAACUCUUCUCCAUGUGUCAAGAUGCAUCCAGCCGGCCUCUGGCCAAGGUAGAAGUCAGAUGCAGGAGUCUUGGUCAGGACUUUGCCCAGCAGACAGUAACACCCCUAAAACUUGCUGUGGUGUGGAGGCUGCACACUAUGGGGCAGGCAGAAGGGACGUGCUCUUCCAAGCUGAGCCCAUGAGGAAUGGAGGGUUAUCCUGGAAAGGGCCAGGAAGAGGGAAGGACUGGUGUUACUUGUCCUUACUGUUGAAGAAGGGCUGGGGGAGGAGAAUGAGCGAGAGAGAUCGUAGGAGAGACAGCUUAUUGAAAGAGGGGAGGGAAGAAUGCAUAAAGUGCCAACAAUUAGAAGAAAAAUGAAAUCAUUUUAUGCACCGGAGAUUACUGAUUACCAUAUCAGCAGGUUAGACUAAACAGAUGCUAAAGUCUUAUGAGCAAACUGGGAGCUUGGUAGGGGCAGAAAUCUCUAAGCUACAUUAAUAAAUGUUGACUUCAGUUCCAGAUGUGUGUGCGUAUUUAAACAUUGCUCCUCUGCUGUGUGAAGCUGCCCUGCUCGUGGCUCCUGCCAGUGUGUCUGGAGGUGCCAGCAGUGGGGCUGUGCUGGGACAUGUGCCCCCAUCGUGGUCCUAAUCCUAAUCCUCAGCCCUGAGCUCCUGGAAGUGUUCAAAAGGCACGUGGAUGUGGCACCUGGGGACGAGGUUUGGUGGAGAGCACGGCAGCGCUGGGGUAACGGACUCAGGGGUCUCAGAGAUCUUUUCCAGCCCUAAUGAAUCUGUGAGUCUGUGAUGGAGCUGAGAAGCAAAGUCCUUCUGCUCCUUGUGAAAUGUCCAUUGUUGCUGUCAGGAUUAGGAACCACGGGUGUGGGGGCUGCUCCAUAGGAUAACCACGGGCGUGGGUGGAGGGCAGGCAGCUUUCAUGCGCCUUUUUCAGCACCAUAUGUAGAGAGCUAACGUCUGCAACAGGCAAAACUGUGAGGGGGGCACAGGCACUCGGCACAGCUGCAGCUGGAAGCCCAGUCUCCUCUUCCAGCCCCGUGUCCAUGGCACAAAAACAACCCGUAAAGUUUCUCUCCCACUGCAUCAGGCCUAAAGAAAGUGGGAUUAAGAAUUACGCGUGGAGCUGUGUUUGCACUUCAUUACUCAUUUAUCCAAAACAAACAAAGAAAAGGUUUCCAAAUGUACAUGUUUUGAAUAAGUGUUAUGUGAAGUAAAGCCAUGAGCUGAGAAGCAAAAGAAAGCAGUGAUUUACCAUAGAAACAAAUAAUGGUAAAAAGAUUAUAAAUGACUGUGAUUUUCUUUCUGUUCUCUGGCAUGUCCAACCCCUUAAAUUAUUUUUCUUUAAAGAGCCCUCCCAUCAACCAAAGCAACCUAUUUAACUAAAAAAAAUGUAACAAAGAUUACAAAUAUUAGGGUUCUAAAACAUGUGGUGGCUACACAAAGCAAAAUUUUAUUAUGAUUCUCCAAGAUAACCCUGCAUAUUUUGAAAGGCAUGAAUGGGGGUUUUCAGUGCUAAUGAAAUCAGCAGCAUGGUAUUUACCCUGCUUGGGAUGUACAGUGGGGUGCCGAAGCCUGGGGCAGAGGGGCAGGGAGAGCCAGGCAGGCAUUUUUGUCUCUGACAAAUGGGUAGCUUAUGAGGAACACUUCCAAAUUUCAACAAAAUGCAUUAUGGUGCAGUAGUAUUUGAUUACUCAGCUUUUCAUUAUUGUAUCUCUUAGCUGAACUUCAAAAUAAGCAGUGGUGUCUUCUGUUCUUCAACAGCUUGUGGUGUUCUGAUACCGGAGUUUAUGAUGACAUUAAGGUUUCUUUUUCUCUCCCUGGACUGGUGUCUUGGGAGUCCUUCAGAAGUGCAGCAAUGUUGAUCUCCUCCACUUUAGCUCAAACAACAGUGACCCAGUUGGGUUCUGCAGGAAGGCAGGAAUGGGCAGCUGAUCCAAUGGAGAGGACCUAUGGACAGGUCUUUCUUUAGGCUGGAAAAAAAGAGUUAAAGGAGUCUCAAUUUUAAACAUCUUUUGAGACUGAGUUUGCAAGAAAUGACUUACCCUGUAACUCAAGUAUGUUGUAGGUCUCUCUUGUGGGUUCGUAAUUGGUGCAAAAUGUUUAUUGUACUGUAGCUAGAAUGACACUGUUAGCUAUAAAAUCUCCACAAAAUGCUACUUUGUGCCUGUGAAAUAACUUGGAAACCAAGGUUGGUGUUGGAUGUAUCCCAAGCUCUUUCAUAUGCCGUUUCUCCACUUGGCCCAUCUGGUGUCAGAAGCUGUCAUCUAACAGAAACCAAGGCCAAGUACCCUGGACAUAAUGAAAAUUUAAAUACCUCUUUGCACCUGCUGUGAAAAUAAAGCAUCUUAACUGCGUGAGACACAGACACCACAUAAGUCGUAAGCUAAACAAACAGUUUUUGCAAAGGGUUGCAUGAAAUCCCAGUGCAGAGCUGAAAAUGAAGGUAGCUCAGCAGGUGUUCUCUUGCCUGUGGAUGCCAUGGAGCUGUGUGGCUGCAGCUCUGGCACUGCCCUGUUUUAGACAACCUCUGGAUGUGGCCAGAGCCCCAUCACUGAGCCAGAGAAGUGACCCGCUCUCUUAAAAUCUCCUUACAGCGAGUGCUGAGCUGAGAAACCGUGCCACAGCUGUUCCUGUUGGUUCCUGCUGCCUCUGAAGAAGUGUGCCUCCUUGGUGCCUCGGCUUGGCAGUCUGUUGGUGCUGUGUGCUGGAAUAUGUCACUGCUGCGGCUGCAGCUCACUGCUACAGCAGGCAGAGCUCAGCAGCGGAUUUGGCACUACUCAGAUGUGUGUUUUAGAAAGCGCUGGAUUUUCUGGAGGCUCCUGGCUCUGAGAGCCUUGCAAGGAGCAGGACCUCCAUAGCUCUGGUCUGACCGACAGACAGACAGACAGAUCUUGGUUGCUCUCAGAUGGUCGAUGGAUGUUUCUGCAGUUCUGCAUCCGCUUGCCCGCCUGCGUGCGCCCGUUCGUCCGCACGGGUUUCUCUCGUGGAUAUGUUGUAUGAACAAUAAAAUGCUGUUCUGUCAGGCCAGCCCUUCAUUAGGCCACCUUGUGCAGCCAUCUCUGAGUCUUUUAGGUACCAUCACUGUGUGCAGUAUGAAUCUGGUCAAAAGGAAUUUUUGUGAUGCAGUGAUUCAAGCAUCUGCCUUUUACAGUUCCUGAGUCACAGCCUCGUAACUCAGGACCUCACUGAAGCAUCAAUAUACAAUUUAAUGUGAUUUUUUGGUCUUUUUUAUUAUCUCUCCCUGAACUCAAACCACUUUUUUUGGGGGUAUAUGCAGCUUAGAAACAUGUAAGCAUUAAGGAAUACAUAGAAUUUAAAGUGGUUAGAACACUGUGGUUGUGUAAUGCUCUAGUAAUAAACACGGGGUGAAAAGGAUACUGUUGUGAUAGUUAAAGUGUCCUUCUUAACGAAUAAACAAUAGGAAGCAAACCAGCACCCAGAAUUUCUUCUCUGCAAACAAGCGUUACUUAAACAGUCGUAAUUCCUUUAAAAAUGAACUUCAUUUUGCCUAUGAGAACAAACAGAACUGAAGCCACCUACUGAGAAAUUCUAUUUUGCUAAUUUUUAUCUAUUCGAAUGCAAAUAGUGGUUUUAAUCCCCUUAACUCAUCCAUCAUGCAUGACAGGUCAGCCAGCCCAUUGUCUGUGUGUUUGAAGGAUUCCUGUCCAAAUCAGACUUUCUGCUGGGCAAGAGUCUGCUCCUUUCUUGAGCUGCUCCUGUCCCCGAGAAAUCUGAAUGUCCCUGCCACCACUUCGGAAAACAGCCCGGGAAUUGCACGUGGAAUUCGCACGGGGUUUUUGCAGAGAGGUUACUGACAAUUCCUAUCAGAGCAGGGGAAAAAGCCCCACAAUGUCAGAUUAAGGACAUCUAGGUUUUUGUAUAAUCUGCUAAACAUCUGUAGCUGAUCCAGAGAUAUGGCAAAGGUCAAAGUUUGGGUAUUUUUUUUUUCCUCCUGUGGGGAUUUCUUUGUAUAUUCUGAAGCCUAAAAAUUGCUAUUUGUUUUGAAAUGCAUUUUUGGUUGCAGUAAAAUACAGUUUAUUGUAAGUAGAAAAUUAUUACUAGGGGCAAAAAGAAAAAAAAAAAGCCGUGUCUUUUUGUAGCAUUUAAAUUUUAAUUAAAUGGGUCUUAGAGUAAAUUGUAAAACCUUCUUUUGUUGAGACAACUGACACUGACAAAAUAUUAAUUAAUGAAUAUUCAGAGAGCUCUCUGGAUCGCUCCUCUCUUUUUGAAAUAUGUUCUGCCUCUGUUUUUAAAAAAUCAGAAGAAAAUUAAUAAGCAUUGCUUAUGUGGAAUAUUUCCCAGUAUGAAGACCUGCCAAACAGAAUCUAAUGCAUUGCAUUAAUGUCAAUGAACACUUUUGAACCAGAUGUGUCUAUGAGUCUUUUUCAUUGUUUUCUCUAAAACUGAAGCUGGGAUGAAACCCAAAGAUUAAGACUUGACAUGAGGAGAAUAUCUUUCUGUGCUACUAUUAGGUCAUUUCCCUUUUGCUGUGUAAAUUAAAUUGUGGUCUUGAUUCAAUCUGGGACCAUUUUAUUGUUGUUGGUUUUAAUACAAUGCACAAAAAGUUCUUUUCUUUGGAAGUAUCAUUAUGAUAUAACUUAAAUGAGUCAUUGUAAUUGUUUGCUCAUUAGCAUCUGAAGGGAUUAUUUCGGUUAUUUUGUUUCUGGGAUCUUUUCUUUCCCCUCUCCUCCUGGGCAGCCCAGUUAGGGUGUGCCUUGCAAGCAGUUAAUUUGUGUAUAGUAAUAUUUAAGUGGGUUAUUGUAGUUUUUGUGUGUGUGUGCAUACACACAGCCCACUGGGGCAGCCCUUAAAACCUGUUUUAGGAACCCUGAGGUCUUUGUCCCCUCCCGGUCCUGUCCUUGUGCGGCCACUUCUGCACAUGGUCCUUACCCACAUUCUGAGCCAGACCCUUGGCUCCCAAGGGAUUCAGGGCACCAACAAGCUCCAACAAGGCCAAGACACACAGUUAAUUUUUUUGCUCCCCUCCCAUUCCCUGGGGACUGUGAGACCUGCCUGUGUCCUGGGCCCCAGCCCCCUGACACUUACUGCUGCUCAGAGGGGAAAAAGAAGGAGGGAAAAAACAACAACAACAAAAAAAACCAUAAAGAUGGGGGGAAAAAUAAAAGAAAAUGCAAAGGUGUAGGGGGGGAUGAAGGGAGUGUUUGCCUUGGCUCACUUGGCAAUUAAAAAUACAUAAGGGAGAGAAUUGCCAUGAACUUGCCCAAAGGGCUAUAAUAAAUAACAUCCUGCAUAACUGGUACAUAAAGUGUGCUCGAUGGUUUUGAGUGAAAUGACUGUGUUUGUUUUUAGGGAUGCUGGCUGGGGAUUUUUUUCAGAAUUAUAACAGUCGGAAUUCAAAUAGGCUUAUGUUUCUGUAAUUGUGGUAAACAUAUUUUAAAAAUCGCUGUUUGAUCAACUGUAAGUAUUACCAGUUCAGAGGUUAAAUGCUGUUGUUAAAGUCACUCAGGGAAAUCCAGCAGAAGUGUAAAUAUGGCAGAAAAAGCUAAACAAUAUGGCAAAGGAAUAUUUGCUGACUUAAGAGUGCAGGAUCAACACCAAUAUUUUUCCAGUGAUGCUAAACCUCUUGUAACUGCUAAAUUGGAUUUGUAGUUGAAUGAAGUAUCAGCUGCUGUUGGACAAGCCCAUAAAGGUCGGACGGCUGGCCUUUUGUAGGCAGGGCUUAGAGGACGAUUGAUAUGUUUUAGCACUUUUGGGAUUAUUGUGAUUAGGAGGAAGCCAUUCUGAAUGAUAGAGAAAAGGAUGUAAAAAACACAGCCCACAGCUGGUAAGCAGCAUGUGUUUGCUAUAAGGAGAGGUCAUGACUAGUUGAUCCUGCUGGUUCAGACACUGAUUGACAGUCAAGAAAACUUGAUAUUAUGAAGCAGACCCUUCUGUUUUCUCCUUUUUUUUUUUUUUUUUUUUUUUUUUUAAUCUCCUAAAGAAAUGAUGGUUCUGUUGUGUUAAGUCAAAGUAUUACAAAAUCUGGAACACUCUCACUUGUUGCAAGCUAAAUGUUCAGGGACACAGCUGCAAGUUUGAAGUUGUUAAAAUAUCGUGCAGGAAUUAGUAUUCAACCUGUAUCGGUGAGAACAGUAAAUGGAAGUUACAGAAUUAGCCCUGGUGUUUCUGUGCUUGCCUUUUUCACAUGUGUUAGUCUUAACAAAACUGCUCUUUGCCAUCUACUAGAACAUUUAUGCUAAGUAUGAGGAAAUUUCAAGUCUGCUGAACCUGUUGACUAUUAUGUGCCUGGAAUAUCCAAGAUUUUUAGCCAGGAAUAAUAUGUGUAAAAAUAUUUUACCAGGCAGAAAACAGCUUUAUCAUUUUAUUUCUAUUAACCACCUGCCUCAGAGGACGUGUAGGUUAUUUCCUCUUAUCUCCACUAUCCACUUGGAAAUGUAGAGCUGCUUUUUCCUCCUCUUUUUUUUUUCCUUUUUUGUUUUCCUUUUUGUUUUUUUUUCUGUGAGCAGCCAUCCGAAAGCUCGCAUAUGCACAUUUAAAUAGUUGUAUCCCUGACUCUUUUUAGUGGGGCUGUACCUCUUUCAAAAUUUGAGUUUAGCAUACCACACAGGAAAGAACACAAGCUUGCCAACUCCCGCUGAGCGUUUUUUCAAGCCUGUGAAAAGAAUGAAUUAUUCAGCAGUAAGCAUGCUUACAGCUGGCCAUUUGGGAGCUUUGAUGUGCGAAUCAGGCGGUUGCAUGAAUGCCCUUAUUGUCAUGUUAUGUGUACACAGUGUGUGAAUUAUUGAAAAUAGUGAGGCCUGAGCCUCAUCUGGUAGAGAUUACAGUGCAGGCAUGCUGGGUGAAGGUCUGUAAUUGAAAAUCCCCAGAUGCUGUUUAUUUGGCCUCCGUCACGUGGCCCUUCUGCAGAAAGCCUGGCUGAACAAAAUGCUGCCCGCCUGGGAAGCGGCGCCCAGCCCCCUCCCAGCCCAGCCCAGCCCAGUGUGCCCGCCACUUAAACACCUGCCCAUAAUAUUUUUAAAAGCUUAAAUUAGAUUUGCCUAUAACGUUUAAAUAGAGGAUGCCUUACUUAGAGGUUUAGACUGCUUAGCCAGUUGUUGACUCGCAGAGCUCUUUUAUCUACAAGAGGCUUUUUGUUGGCCAGUUUAGCUGCGAGGCGCCUUCGGAAAGCGGCGCUGCCGAAUUUGGGGCCAGGUCUCCCAAAGCCGGAUAUUCCGACGGCAAAACAGAGCGGAAAAGUGCUGGGGCUGGGCACCAUGAAGAGCAGCUUUUCCCCCACGGGCCGUGGGCUCUGCCGCCCCAGGGCCCCGUGCCCACUUGCUGAUGGGGAAAGGGUUCAGAGCAGCGCAUCCCUGCUGACGGUGGCCUUGGCUGGGCUGGGAUCUGCCUCCAGCUCGUGCUCGGGGGCCAGACAAAGAGCUGGGCGCUGCUUGCAGGCUCUGUCCCAGGAGAGCACUCACAGCUGCUUCCUCAUGGAGCAAAAGUCCCACCAGCUCCCCGGAUUUGGCCCCCAGGCACAUGGGCAGCACUGUGCGUUCAGCAGGCCAAGCAGAAGUGGAGUUGACCAAAACUGGCCGGACAAACCUUUGUUAUGGUGUAAACGUGGCUGUGAGAAUGAUUUGGGAGGUGAAGUUGUGCAGGUCUGUCCCCCAGACUUCUCAGUCAGGAUGGGAAAUACCUGUUCUGAGCCACAGUCUUGUCAAAUUUGAAGAGAUUCAUACUGUUUCAUUAUCUGAAAAAAAAAUAGGCUUUUCUACUUGGUCGUAACUUGAAUUAUGUGGCUGAGCAUGAAAACUUUUUAAAAUUAGCUGUUCGUUUUCAAGUUGCUAGCUGGCUUUAUUUCCCACACUUGCCUAUUUUUAUCCCAUUUGGAUCGUGCCUAUUACUGGGAGCUGGGAGGGCAGAGGUUUAAUUUGUGCCAUUAAUGUUCUAAAUAAAGAUGCCCGCCGGCCUCACGGCUGCUCAGAGACGUGAUGCACCAGCUCCCUGCCCUGUUGCCUGGGUUUGAGCACUGAUGCCCGUGGCCAGGACACAGGAAAGGGACACAGUGUGGCCAGGAGCAUGUCCACAGCUGGUGCAGGUGCUGGUAGAGCUGCCUGGGAUGCUGUGGUGGCUCCGCUGCCGUGGUGCUGGUGCUGUUUCUGGCCCAUGAGGGGGAUGCAGUUACGCCUUCCCAGUCAGGAGUGGAUUUUCACCUUUAGGGCCUUGCUGGUGCUGGCUGAGUGGGGACAAACACACCAUUGGCAUCACGGGCGAGGCCAAGAGCCUCGCACAGACCCUGUGGGGGCUGAUGCCUGGCUGCUUUGGGCUGUUCUUGGGAACAGCCUUGGUGGGGAGGAUCCCUGCACAAGGGCCCUCUGUUAGAGCAACAACUGCCUGCCCCGGGCAGAGGCGCUGGGAGCUGCCCCACUUUGCAGCUGCUCCUGCUUGUUGGGAGCAGGAGGAGCAGAAGUGUCAGCUCUCUGCUGCCUGGGAGGCAUCCGGGAUCACCACACACUCCCCUGCUGAGGGUGGUGGUGCUCAGGGAUGGGGCAGUGGGUUGGGAAGGUGGAGGGAGCCUGUGUGCCGAGGCUUGGCUGGAGCAGGGCCGCCCUGGGGACUCGGCUGUGCCCUUGGAGGGGCCACAGUAGAGCUUUGAGAGCUUUGGCUGUCCACAGAGCCUCACAGGUUUUUAGCAUCUGCACUGGUUUUUUAGCUGAACUUGCUUUUUACUCCAUGCCACAAUUAAAAGAGAUGUUCCUUUGCACAAAAUGCCCUCUUCCUCAGCAUCAGUCCAGGGAGAAUUAUGGUUUGCAAUUGCACUGACGACACAGAAGGACAUGACAGAUAAAGCCUGAAUUAACGGGGAAAAAGGCAAACUCUAAGAAGCAGCCUAUGUAAAAUAUUUGUUGUGGCCCUUUCCUGAUCUUUUCAAGAUCCUUGGAAAAGAUUCCUGUGCUGUGAAGAUGUUUUAUCUAUCCAGGCACCUCCCCAUGCCUCUCUUUGAUACCUGAACCGAAACAUUCAAAGUAGGAGACUGUCACAGCAUAUGACAGGAAAAAAGAGCUGAAAAUUUACAGUUCAUAAAUCUGACCUCUUCUCUUCUGCCAGGCAAUUUCCCAGAUCUGUAUGACAAGGAGACAGAGGGAGGGUGUGUAUGGAAAGUAUUUCCACAGCUGAGCUCUUCUAGAGAAAACAGAUCUAUUUAUUAAUGAGCAUUUUUCACCCUAAGUUUCUAAAGGCCAGUUAAAGAAGUUCCAUGAGCCUCCUUUUGUUUCAGACUCUUCUCAUUCCCAAGAACAGGAAAGGGUGUUUUUAAGAUUAUUAAGCUUCCCUUUCUUUAAAAUGUUCUUUGGACUUCAGCUGGUCUGAAGAUAAGAUCAUUUCUGUCCCUAUCUGUCAGAGUUGGUAAAGAAGAGCACCAGUGUUUGGUAGAUAACAUUAAGGCUGUAAACUUUUAGUUGGGGGCAUCUAUCUUGUUUAUAUCAGGCAGUGCUUCUGUUUGUGUUUAUGGCUUUUGGUAGCCCAAGAAGGAAUUUAUGUCUUUUCAGAUUGCUGUGGCCAGGGAGAAGGUAUUUAGUGAGCCUUCAGUAUCUCCUGCUCUGGCUAAACCUGAUGCAUGUGUCUUUGCUGAGUUGAAAACAUGAUGGUAAGGAAAACAUGUCUUAGGGUUUUACCUCUGCCACUUUUUAUGGCUCCUUGUGGAGUUCCUCCUCCCUGCAAGUUAAGGCAAAUUAUUCCACCCUGUUAACUCUUCUGGAGUUAGGCUCCAGGUUGCCUUCAGCUUAAGGGAAGCAGUCACUUGCCACAGCUGCAGUCUUGUUAGUCACAGCCCUGGCCAGCUAGAUAAUGGCUACAGAAACCCCCCAUGAGCGAAGACAGAGUGUUUCAUGGGUGCACUGGGGCUCAACCAGAGACAGCACUCUAAGGAGAGUCUAGACUUUCAGUGCUUGCUGUUUUUAGUAAAGAUGCUUUUCCUGUCAAAUGGCUGCCUGGGAACCUGAGCUUUCCUUUAAAAGUAGCUUUUUUGCUCUCUUGUCUGGGAGGAGAGCUGUGAGACCUCAGCUGUGGCCCGGGAUUGCACAGGGAUGCCUUAAUGGGCAAGGGGUGGCUGGAGUGACCUGUGCUGUGCCCAGGUAUCUGAAACAUCUGCAGCACAGGCAGAGGGACAAGAGAUGGCAUUGCAUCCUUUACAUCACCUUACAGCAUCACUGAGCUGGCACAGUCACCAGCUGCUGAUCAGAGCAACCUGACAGUAUUGUUGCAGCAAAAAAAAAA